rnacentral:lncRNA from 1 species
AAAAACCAGACUACACUGAUUUCCUGUUCCAGGAUUCCCAAGACCCAUGGGAUGCAUUUCUCCCUCUGAGCCAACACCUUCACCAGUUUCCCCAACCAACAAUGGAUGAACCUGGCCCCUCUGAACCAGGACCUUCAACUCAAUCCUCCAAACGACCAGCUCAACCAUCCAAAGUUGACAAAGCUACCCAAACUUCCCCUCAGUAUACUCCAAAGUGUACUCCCAGAGACUAUAAUUGCCCUUAUCCACCUUGCCGUGGUCCCCACUGUAAGCAUCCAAAGCUCUCCAAGACCUUUUUCCCAAAAAGCAACCCUGACAACCCAUAUGAGACAGAAAGCUCAUCCGAAGACGAGUACAUGAACCUCCGCUCUCCAUAAAGUUGUUUGUCUUGUUGCUUUCCAUAAAGUAGUUUGUCUUGUUGUCAUAAUGAUGUUUCGCUUUAUGCUUGCAUAAUUAUUAAAGUUUGCUUUUACUUUAAGCUUUUGCUUUUGCUUUUGACAAAGUCAUGCUUUAAUUAUUAAAGCACUUUUGUCUUUUGUAAUAAUUAAAGUUGUGCCAUUAUGUAAAAGAUAGGGGUCCUGUCCUAUCUUAUCUUUUGUUUUUGCUUUUGUAAAAGAUAGGGGUCCUGUCCUAUCUUCUCAAGAAUCCUCCUCUAUAUAAAGGAUUCUCCCCUUGCUUGUAAGAUAUAAGAAAAAUUUCCAAGAAAAAAACUCGUGUGUUUUCUUCCAUGAAUUUCUAAACUCUCCUUUCUCUCUCUGCAAAUGAAGUUCUAAGAAAGAAAAGGAAUAAAGGAUUAAAUUUGUUCAUUUUGAAAACCUAAGGAAGUAUGCUCUGCACUUGCCUUCUAGUAAGGAUCCUGUGCAUCAGAAAACUUUUGAUCAUUUCUUAUCUGGUUUGGUACCCUGUUUUAGACUAAAGGAAAGUCUGUUUUGGGUUGUAUAACCUGAGAAAAAAUGUUUUAAAGGUUUUUGAUUACAGAGGUAUAUCGGCUGGAAACCCGAGCUUGCGGACUACUGGUCCAAAGUACAGUUUUAACUGUUGUAGUUCUGGUAUAACAACGCCACGUAUACAGAGGCUUGAGAGUUUGAUCGCCAUUCAUUUGACACUUGGCUGAGCUAUAGCAUACCAACUAGUGAUUAAUAAAGAGAAGGUAUGAAGGUCCUGUUGCUGGUGGUAUUAUCAAUCAGAAUUGUUAUUUUACUUAGUCAUAGUUACCAUGUAUACUAUUCGUAGACUUUUUGCAUGUUUAUGCAUUCGCAUCAUCUUUUUGUUAAGCUAGAGAUGGUUGAUUUGUGUACUCAUUUGUAUCACUUGUAACCCUUGAGGAAUAAAUUUAAAAUUCGGUUGCAUCUCCUGUACUAAAUACUAAUUAACUCAUGUAUGGGAAAUGGUUCAUUAUCUUAUUUCUUUGAUGCGUAUAGUGUUACACUGUCUAAAGUUGAAAAGUAUUUCUAUCACUUGUGUAAAAAACAAACAACUUUUUUUUUCACUCUUCUUAUAUUGAAUAAAAGAGGGACACCAAGAUCUUCACCAAGAUUGAACAAAAUUUGAUGCAGAAAACAUAGCAAUUAGGCUAGUGCAAAACAACUUCCUUUUGGUUCUCUGAUAUUUGACUUAAAUCUUUUGUUUGUUUCAUUCAUCAAAGUCAUUUUGGAAAGUAGCAGGGGUGAUUUGAUAUUUUCAUUGUAUUCACAUCCCUUGGCACCAAAACAAGCGUGUUGGUACUAACCAACAAUUUUUUAUUUUUAGUAUACAAAUUAUUUUUUUAAGACAAAUAUGCUGGUACUAACCAAUAAUAUUUUCUUUUCAGUAUACAAAUUAUUCUUUUUUUUAAAUUAGGGGUAUCAAGGAAAGAUAUACUAGCACCAGAGGAAAGAUAUACUAGCACCAGGGGAGGUAUUUAAAAAUACACAAAUAUAAUCUAUCAAACUGAGAAUACGCCAAACCGGCAGGUUUCUGAUAAAUCCUUUUUUUCUUUUUCCUCCAUUCACGAUAGGUUCAAUUUAGACACUGUUGACCAAACAGAAGGUUUGGGUUGGUAAACGCACUAGCGUAAUAGUGUUAAUGCCAACAACCCAAGGGGCUUCGUGGUCCUCUGGGCCGAAAUAGCGUAAUUAUUAAUUCUCCUCCAGUGAAAAACUUCAUCUUGGGACAAAUAAUUACAAUUUGACAUUAUUGCUGUGGAACUCUGGAGGUGUAACAACCGGAAAAAUAAAAAUCUUAAGACUUUUUAAAUAAAAAAGAUAUAACACCUUUAAUUUGCUAAAAGUAAUGGUAUCAUUUCUUGUAUGGAUAAUGGAUGAUUAGAUUUUGUUUUUUUGUUAUCCGACGAAGGAUAUUCAGUUGUUCUUUAUGUGUUCAUAGGCAAGAGCAUGAGCAUAUGCAUCAUUUGAUAUAUACUUCUUGCAUUUUCUAAUUACGGACUCUCUUUCCUUGCCUUCUUAGUUUUGAAAGAAAGAUGUGAAGCAAAGCAAACCCAGUGAAAUCUACAGAGAAACAGAACCAUCAGAGGAAAAACUAAAUAACAGAACCACAAUUGAACCAAACAAAAUCAAAUAAACCGAGGCAACGGAUGCCCUGAAUCAGGCAUCCCUUUUUGUCGAAAGAAAAUAUGUUUGCAUGGGUGGGAACCUAAUAAUUACUCAAGAGUUGGAGUUGGAAAGAUUUGGUAUUCAUAUCUUCACAAUUCAUAAGCUUUAAUGCAGAAUCGACGGCUUUAUAUUAAUUUAUUCGACCAAAAACGAUAAAGUAGGAAAACCACAAUAAUCCACCAACUUUUGCUACUUUUAGGAAUAAUUUUUAGUCAACUUUCAAAAAGUGACAUGACGAUCUUUGAGUUGACAAAUCUUGGCCUGCUGCUUAGUACCCUUUCAACAUAUUAAGUACUAGUCUACUAGAUGUUUUACUGAGAAAAUGACGAGAUCAUUUAUCAAAUUUCUUGCGCAUAUAUACAUAUAUAUACAAGAAAUAAGAAUCAGAGUGAUUGUAAGACCUUGCAAUGAGGCAAUAAUACAUCAUCAAAUCUAAAAAUACACAAGAAAUUCGUGACGUAUAUAUAACAAUAGACCUCUCAUUGAGUCAUACAUAUUGAGAAUAAAAUGUCAAAAUGUAUACAAAGAGCUUAUACAGAAAAUGAAUUUACACACAUUUAAAAUAAACUGUCUUUGAACUUCCGAUGGUCAAACAAAGGAAACAGACAGGAAAUGACACACACUAUCAUAUAUGUAGCGACACGAUGAAGUAAAUCACAUGAAGAUGGAAAGGGGAACCCCUCACAGCAUAAAAUUUGAAUAGAGGGGGAAAAAGGCUUCAUUUCGAAUGUUGCACGGAAGAAGAGUGAUUUGAAUCUCCAUCAAUAUUCAGACAUUCUGCAAACACAGUGCUGAGAAUUUUAACAAGAAUAACAGACAAAAUAUUGUGCUCUCUAUACUUUCACAAAACAAGACCAAAUUAGUUCCCUUUUUGGUUUGUGAAAACUUGAUAUUUUUUAAAAUUCUAUCCAAUGCUUUCAAACAAUAUUUCCACAAUAUAGUUGUUCAUAGCUAACCUUUGAUUGUUUAAGGAUUUGUUGUAGGCAUAAUGGGCUAAUUAGAUUUUUUUUUUUAUCCAAUGAAUGCUAUUCAGCUGUUCUUAAUUAUGUGUUCAUAGGCAAGACCAUUUUCUUAAGUACUUUCGUUGCCUUCCAAGUUUCCAAAGAACAAACAGAGCACAAACAAAUAUAACGGAACAGCAAUGAUGACAAUAAAUAAUUGGCAAAGAAAGAAAGAAAAAAGUUUGCAUGAUUUCAAGGAAUUGUAAAAUCUGAAGACUUUCAACAGGAAUUAUAAAAUCUGAAGACUUUCAACAUGCAAGUGUUGCCCCUUUUGAUGAAAUUUCAUCAUAAAAUGCUUGCAAAGAAUUAUAAAAUUUUAGAGAACAAGCGAACUCUCAAACAAAAUACUCAAAUUAAAUUAAAUUAGACCAAAAGACACUCAAUGACGCAAAAUCUGCCAUUCUAAAUAAUUGAGAUGAAAUUGUGAAACAACCCACAAGAUCACAUAAAUAAAAUAAGAAUUAAUUACCAGCUUUGACUUUCUUCUCCAAAUUCGCGACUCCAAGACAUAAGAAGCCAAUGAAAUUAGUCGUAACCCAUAAAGUACGACGACGACCCCGCCAAUAGCUGAAAAUAAAAUACUUAUUCAUCAAUUUAAACUAACUUUAUAACAAAUAUCUUAUCGAUAUUUUAUUUAAAAAAAGCAAAUUUGUAAAAUUUUUCCAUGGGAGAUAGAGGGUAAUAUGUAUAUCCGUACCUUUUCAGCAUGUAAUUGUUGUAUGGUCGUGUUAAGAUCAUUAUUUGCCCAACGCCGUUGAUCCUCUGACUCUCCAUACGAGACGCUUACUCUCGGAGGUGUGUUUGAUUCUCCUGAAGUGAAAGUCUUCAUCUUGGGACAACCAAUCACUUCCAGAUAUUCCAGAGAUGGGAAUUUGAAGGUGUAAUUGGCAGAGCAGAAACUUGUGAGACUGUCUAAAUCACACAGAAUCAACGCCUUCAAUUUGCUGAAAACAAUCUCUUCUAUGUCAACUCCUUCUUUGUCAUUUAUUACCACCUCUGUCAUUGCUCUGCAUCCAUAUACUUGCACUGUUACGAGUCGCACCAGAGUUUUUGCUGUGGAGGAUGUUACUAAGUGUAUCAAUUCCUUGCAACCGACAGCUACCAGUUUUGUUAGGUUCCGAAAAGAUACCGAUGAUGAUGGCAAUAGACUUAACAGAUUUUGACAAUGAUAUACUUUUAGAAUUUCAAGAUAUUGAAAAAUGGAGUCAAGUUUGGAGUCUUGUUUACAUAGCUGCUUCAGAUGAUUAAGGUGGCCCAGCUCUAUACAUUUUAUCAUUGCCAACUUCCUCAAACGUUUCUCUAAGCAUCCUUCCGUUGAAAAUACCUCUUCGUAUGAACAAUGAUACAGUAAGAGUAAUUCGAGAUUGUGAAAUCUCUCAAGUACAUUCCUGAUUGGAAAACAAGCCGAGUCAUCAUAAGUUAUGUCUAGUUUUUUAAGAUUACCAAAAAGGUGUGGGAAAUCGGCGUCCAAAAUCAUCUUCACAUCUUUUCCGCUUAACGCCAGUGACUCCAAGUUGGGUAAGAUCUGAUCAUCGUCAAUCACGUAGUAACUAAUCAGUCAGUUGAUGUUCUCUCCAAUAAUUUUGAGUAAUCCAAUCAUAUGCAGCGACCUUAUAGUACUUGUUGUAGAUUAUAUAUAUUUUACCCAAAAAAAAACAAAAAGAAAGGAAAAAUUGAAUUAGUGAUAAAAUUCAUUCUAGGAUUUUUGUAUGUUAAUUUUAGAGAUAAGAGAGAAAUUAGAAAAAAAAAAAGGAUGAUUUAUACUGGCAUAAAUAUAUUUUAUUGCACAAUAAUAAAUUAUUAAUUUAUAUUGUAAGUGAUUAUAUAUGAGAAAACUGAGGAUUCUUUUAUAAUGCUAUACCUAAAAUAAUUCAUCUAAUUAUUAAUUUAGUACAUUGAUCCCUUAGUCAAGACUAGCAAAAAUAUUAAUUUUGUAAUAAAAGUUUUCAAUUUAUUGAGUAUUAAUUUAUUGAUGUUUUGUUAUAUUUUACAAAGUCAAAAGUCGCUAAUGAUCUAAUUGAUAAGAAAUCUAGAAAGCGGCUUCAUACCUUUUUGAACAAGAAUAGGGGCCGUUGUGCAGGAAUACCAAGUUGAUCAUCCUCAUUAUUCUGUGAUGAAUCUGCAGCGAAUGUCUUCAAUUUGUCACAACCAGACACCACUAAAAUUUUUAGUGCAGGCCAUUCCGAAGUAUGCAUUCCAUGGUAUAAACAUUUAAGUUCUGGUAGCUCUUGGAGUAUAAGAGUGGUCACCCGUUGAAAGACAAAACGAGGGGUCACAUGAUCUACUCUGUCUUCCGAAAUGAUCUCUUGCAAACCCCUACAAUUCACUAUCUCUACUUCUUGGAGAUGCUCAAAGCUUUGAAUCAUAGAAACUAAAAAUAUGUAUUUCAAUUUGUUACAGUGGCACACAAUCAAUCGUGUUAAACUUUGAAAGCGAGGAAGCAUGACCGGACGAUGAUUGUAAUGCCAAAUCUUGUCGACAUUAAUUUCAGAUAUCUCCAAAGCCUCCAAAUUAGGCAACCCUACCUAAAAAAAUAUUAAUUUCUUGUUAGAUCCAACAUCCAUAUGAGAAGGACUUAUUGAAAUUUUCUUCUUUGAUUACAGAUUAAUAAUUCAAGUCAAAAUCAAUUUCCAACUGACAGCUGAGUAUGCAUUCUAAUUCGUAUUACUUGUUAAGAGCUCAAUUAGUGAGUGCGUAAGAUUCUUUUUAUCCUUUUUUUUUCACUUUCUUUCAAUUCUUUAAAUGAUUUAAUUAUUUUCCGCGUAUGACUUCAAAAGAGAAUGCACAAUAGCAUAAAGAAAGUGUUAGCCUACGCACCUUGCCGUUGAAAAGCAGUGUUUCCAAAUUGAUUUCGUUGGAGCAAGAACUUGUCAAUUCCUCUUGCAGCCCUUGUCUGUUUGGUGAUGCUGAAGGAGUCUUCAAAUUACGGAAAAAAGUUGUAACCUCUGGAAGAUUUCCCAAACUCAAAGAUCUUAAUUGAGCCAACUCUAUCUUCUCAGUAGCAUUAUUGUUGUCAACAUCAGCAUCUCCCUCAGUAGCAAAAAUCUCUUUCAUCUUGCUGCAAUUAAUAACUGCAAUUCUCUCAAGUCUUGGAAGGCAUUUUGCAGUGGAGAGCCAGAAGAUAUUACUCAACUCAUUACAAUUUUCUACUUUUAUUGUUUUGAGUUUAUUGAAAGACUACUUUGAGUCGAUCAAUGCAUAUCCUCUCCAUGUUGAUCAAAUUGUGAAGAGUCAGUGACUCCAAAAGAGGAAAGGCAUCACAAGCGACCAUCUCCAUUGAGUCGACAAUACAAAAGAAGUCAGGAUUAUUUUGAACCCAGAGAAACUUCAAUUGUGGAAAGCCCUUUGUGUCCAAAUCGAAAAGAACAUUUUUGACACCUUGUAGCUUGUCCAACCAUAAGUAUUCAACGUUAUUGAUGGCCUGCAAUUUCAUGGAGCAAAUGUCCGUAAAAUCAAGCUUGAGCUUCAAUUCUCUUAAACACUCAUGAUUAUCGUUGAUCAAAAAGUUCGACCGACUGCGAAACCAAUCUUUUGCAACAGGCAAGGAAGCCAUGAAUGACUCAUUUCCAAUAGAUAUUUUGAACCUUUCGAGCUUUCUGGCCAAAAAGCCUUCCGGUAAAAUACUGUCAUUUUUAACAUCAAUUUCUAGAGUGGUUAGCCAAGGUAAAAGCAUCAAUUCAUCAAGGCUUGCAUUACUUCUUUCACUGUUGGCUCUUUCAACCUCCCAUUCAACGGAGCAAUUACCCAUAUACAAUUCUUCUAAUCGGAUUAAGCUCGAUAUGACAUCUGGGGCAAUAACUUUUAGACGGAAACAGUCUCUUAAAUCUAACAGCCUUAGCUUAGUCAGUUGCCCUAGUGCUUUUGGUAACUCUACAAUAUCAGACCACACAAAGCUAAGGAUUUCUAGAUUUUCCAACUUUCCAAUAAUGGCUAUGUCCAUGUCUCCCAAAAUGCUUUGAUCAAGACAAAGCGUCCGAAGAUUUACUAGAUGAUCAAUUGAAGAUGGCAAUGGCAAUAACUGCAUUCUAGUCAAAUCCAAAACCCGAAGCUUUUUUGUCCUUUCGAAGAAGUUCUCAGGAACAUUGGGCGCGACAAAAGAGUUCUUGGGAGACAUGAGUAAAAAUUCAAGUUGUGGAGAUUCCAACACUUCGGGAAUGUCAUUAAUAAUACUAUCUUUUAAAAAAAUUGCAGGAUAUUUUUUUAAUGCAUCUGCAUCUGGCCAUUUCCACACAUCCUCAUUUCUAACCGCAAAUGCAAUUUUGUCACCACAUGCAAUUGAAAUGGCAACAUCGCGAACAACAUCAUGCAUGGAAAAUAAUUUACUGCUACCAUCCUCAAGCAACAAACAAGAGUCUCUUAGUUGAUUGACCCAUGCAUCUAAUUUGUUAUGUGCAUCUUCUAGCUUAUGGACACUUUCAAAUGCACCCAAGCCCACGCUAUAUUUGAACAAGUCCAUAAUUGAAGUUGGUGUAAUUAGACUACACAGUAAAAAAGUUUUCUUGAGUUGCUCACCUCUUAAGUACUUGUAACUCAGCUCAAUUGUUGAGUAUGCCUCUACUGGUACUCCUCCGUCGAAGCUUGCCUCUGAAGGCGUUUGGAGUUCUUGCAAGGCGUUCUUCCACACAGGCAGCUCUUUGUUUCUCAGUGCCCUUGCUACUGUGGUUAGGGCAAUAGGCAAACCUCCACAUGCCUUGGCUACACUUGUUGCUGUAGAUUUUAACUCACGAUUUUCAACAUAAUUACCAGCCAUUAUCUUGAACAAUCUCCAAGCUUCUUGCUCAUUUAGAAUGCCAAUCAAGAAGUUAUUUUCUGAUCCCAUACUUAACAAGACAUUACGAUCCCUUGCUGUUAAUAAUAAUUUGCAUCCUCUAUUAUCAUCGCCAAAAGGAAUUCCAACAGUCUCUAAAUCAAGAUAUUUCCAGAUGUUGUCCAGAAUCACAAGGAUCUUCUUGUCAUUCUUCAAUCGUUCAUAAAGUUUACUAGCUCUUCUAGAUUCAGCCUCCUCGGACAACUCCAGACCUAAUUUCUCUGCAAUUUCCCCUUGAAUCUUUUUUAUGUUUGGAGUUUGGGAAACCUCCAAAAAAACCACCAUAUCAUAAAGCUUGUCUUCAAUGGCUCGCCUAGCAAACUCCUUCACCAGUGUCGUCUUUCCAAUGCCGCCCAUGCCGUACACUCCAAUGAUGCUGACAUUAACAUCAGUCAAAGCAUUUUGCAUUGCCUCCAAAGUAGAAAGUCUUGAUUCAAAGGCUUCGUAGCCUUUGUUAGACUUUACCCAUAUCUCCUCUAGAAUAGGACGGUAGGAAACACUAUUAUCAAAUUUCCCAGCUUCUUCUUUGAGUUCAACAAGGCCCUUCACCUCUGUUUCUGCUUUCUUGCUAAGCUGAUAGCGGGUCUUCAAAUUAGGACACAAGCCCAUGAGACAUGGCUUAUUUGUUGUCUCCUCAUCAUCAAUAAAUUUGGCUGCCUGCUCAAUGGUGUUGUUCGCACUAACCAGCCACUUCUCAACCUUCUCUUCAAUAUUUUCCCCUUUUCUUUCAGCCUCAGAAACCCUGUGCUGAAUGCUUCUCCUUUCAUCCUUGAGCUUGUCUAUUUCUGCCUUGAGAUUCUCAACGUUGGCUUUAUAGUUACGCAAAUAACCAAGUCGGCGUUCUGUUGGAGGAGCCAAGCAUUUCACAAAUUCUGAAACAACGGUAACAAUGCUUUCCACCAUCCUGGAUCCCUUUUCUUUUUUUCAAAGUUCUGACAAGAAAAUAAACAACGAGCGAAACACAGAGAGAGUGAAAAAAAGAAAAAGAAAAAAAGCUAAACACAGAGAGAGUGAAAGAAAAACUGUUAUGGAUCUGGUGAGAAGAUGGAAACAAGGAAAAGGUUUCUAGUUCAAAAACUGAUUGAAUUAAUAUAAGGAAUGAUUUAGAUAAUAGAGGCGAAGGGAACCAAUCAAAAUAACUGAAGUAUUGACCAGAAGAAAGACGGAAAAAAUAUUGACUGAGAUGGAAAAAAUGAAGAUAUCUUGACACGGUAGAAGUACAAAGGGUAGAUAUGGAACCAAACAAAGACAACAGCAGGCCACAACAAGAUUGGGAAUGGAGAGAAACUAAUUAACAAAGACUGGAGAUUACAACAAAACAGAUGCCGAGAGAAAACUUGAUCCAGUGAAAUUCAAGAGAGUUGACAGCAAAAGGGAGCAAAGAUUAAUAACAAAACAACAGUGACUACAAUGGACAAAAGCAUAUGCGUUUCUUGAUUGAGAAUGAGUGCAAAGAAUGACCUUUUAAGGAGGUUCUGAAGCUGAAGAAUAUAUGAUUUGCUAAAAUUUCAAGAAUGAUAUAAACUCUGUAACUUUAACAAGUGAAGAAUAAAAGAAUAAUGGUUUGUCAUCCUCACAAUGAAGAUCAUCGACGAGAUUAAAAGCUGAAAGUGACCCAUUUGAAAAGCCAAAGUUCAAGUUCCUUGGCUAAGUUCGUAAGUGAAGCAAAGAAUAAUAAAUAAAUAAAGAUCAAGGGAUGGGAAUAAAGUCAUCUUCAGAAAGUUGCAGAAAGAUUUCUGCCGACAUUGUCAAAAUUAUUAUUUGGUAAACCUGAUGUAUUAUUAGUAUAAAACAGAGUAGGUGAAACACGUACUUACUACUUAGUUCAAGUUCCUUGGCUAAGUUCGUAAGUGAAGCAAAGAAUAAUAAAUAAAUAAAGAUCAAGGGAUGGGAAUAAAGUCAUCUUCAGAAAGUUGCAGAAAGAUUUCUGCCGACAUUGUCAAAAUUAUUAUUUGGUAAACCUGAUGUAUUAUUAGUAUAAAACAGAGUAGGUGAAACACGUACUUACUACUUAGACUGAUUAGCAUCUGAAAUUUUAUGAUCAUUAUGUGUUGCAUUUUACUUUAUACAUUACGUAACACAUUUUAAUUUAGCCAAUUUUGAUAAAAACACAAUUAGUGGUUUUAGACAAUGAAAAAAAUAAUAUAGAAGUAGAAAAUGAGGGCAAAACUACGUUGCAAUGGGGGUUUGGUACCUCUUUCUCUUGUCUUUUUCAGGGUUAAUUACAGUAAAAUCCUGUUAUUUGUUAUAAAUACAAAAAAGUUAAAAACUUUUAAAUUUUCACACAUUAGUCUUAUACCCAAAAAUUUUCAAUUGCAUUAAUGCUUCUGGAAGCCACGAUUUGUUUAGAAUUCAAGCACCUUUAAAUUCAAGCACUUACUCUCUUUAUACACACAAACACCAGUAAAUUAAAAGAAAUUUUUUUUGAGUUGUGUGAUUGAAUUUGAGGCGCAAAACUUUAAUAGAAAAUAAAUGCAAUUGCAUGCUUUCUUUUUUACUUUGUAAAACUCCUAAUUUAAUAACCCAUUUAUGACACAAUUAAUUAUACUAAUUGGCUUAUAUUUUAAUUGAUAGAUAUGUGUUGAAUUGUCAUAUCUAUUGUUGUGCAUGUGCGAUGUUAGGUACAGAGAAUAAAGAAUAGAAAAUACUUAUUUUUUAGUUUAUUUUUACAAAGAAAAUUUUUAAAUUAUUUUCAAAUAGAGUAAUUGUUUAUAAUUUUUUUUACCCUUCUCUUAGUUAAGUUAAUGAAAGAUCUUAACCGUAUGGAUGUGUGCUAAUGACUAUUUAAACUACUGGGGUAGAGUAACAAAUAUCAAUUUAUUUAAUUGUGCAAUUAAAUUUAUUCUUUUUAUUUAAGGACAAAAAAUACAAACUCAUUGUUCAAACAAACAAAAAUUAUUUUACAAAUUCAUAAAUUAACACUUUAUUAUUCGUAGUAAAUUAACAUAUUUUUACUACAUAAUUAAAUAAUUGAUAGUAGGUUAAAUAAAUCUAUGUUACAAAAAAAAUUAACUACAUAGAAUAUCAAAUUAAAUUUAUGUUCGUAUUUUGUACAUUACAUUUACUUGAGAUAGUAAAAUCUCUUGUGUUGGAAUAAAAAAGGUUAUGGGGUUUGAACCUUGGUCACAUGGGUGAGAGGAAAAUUGGUUGUUGUUAUGUUAAAUUAAAAAAAAUCAUAUUUAUAUUUAUCAUUAAUUAUGGUUCAUAAAUAAUAACAUAGUUUAACUAUAUAUUAAAUUUUUUAAUUUGUUAAUUAAUAAGAAAAUUUAUUAAUUUAAAUAGAUAUUAAUAAAUGUAAGAAUAAGUCAUUUAAUUGGAAAAAAAUAUUAUGGAAUUCUAUGUCAUAAUUUUAAAAAUUCUGAUUUUUCUUAUUUUGCAUGAACAAGAAGAGCUUUUAAUGUUAAUAACCUAAAAUCACAUUUAAGCCAUUAUACAACUCCUGCGUUACAUCCAACGGUAAAUUAGAAAAAGACAAAAAAUGGGGCACCAAACCCCAGGGGUAACAUAGCUGGACCUAGAAAAUGAAUGGAACUAUACUCAUCUUCAUUUUGGAAAAUCAAGUCAAAAAAAAAAAAUCCACAUGCUUUUGUUAAAGUUAAAAGCUACAUAAAUAAUAUCACAGAGGCUUCUAUUGAAGUUGAUGUGAAUCACAGCUUUGACGCUUGUAAAUGAAUUUAACAAACAAAACACAAUUAGUGGUUUUAGACAACGGAAAAAAUAAUACAGAAGUAGAAAAUGAAUGGAACUACACCCAUCUUCAUCUUGGAAAAUCAAGUCAAAAAAACAAAAAUCCACAUGCUUCUGUUAAAGUUAAAAGCUACAUAAAUAUAUAAUAUCACAGAAGCUUCUGUUGAAAGUUGAUGUGAAUCACAGCUUUGACGCUUGUAAUACAAGGAGCGCGCAAACUUCAGUUUAGGUGUAUACAUUACUUGUCUUUCAAGCUUGAAAUGAUUAUAGAUAAAAAACAAAAGCAAACAUACAGAUGGGCCAUUCAGUUCACAUAAUUUGACAAAAUUAUUAUUAUUUUGAAAUUUCGGUCAUUCACUCAUUUUCAUUUUCACUUUCACUUUUGAUUCAAUUUAACCAGUUAAUGUUGACAAAAUAAAAUGCUAAUAAAAGGCUAAGGCUACUAUUUUGAUGAACUAAUUAUCUCAGGAAUAGAAGCAUCUAUAAGCAUGCAUGGGUGGCCACAUGAUAAUUACUAUCAAGAGCGAAAGAGUUAAAAAUUUCUUUGUAACGUAAGCUUUUCCAGAUCGUGAAUAUUCUGAAGCAAACCGUAAACAGUCAAUCCAUAAAAAAUGGGAUAAUAAAUUUCAACUUCCCUUCCAAAUAGAAUGACAACCUCAAUUUCUAUACUUCCAUUUUUGUUCAAAAAAUUGUCUUCUUAACAGUAAAUGGAUAAAUUGAUGUUUUCACUAAAUGACAUGAAGAUCGUAAUUCAAGUUUACAAAUCUGGCCGUGCUGCCAUACGAUGGCAAAGUUCUUUUUGCUUAAUAUCAAUUCCUCCAAGUUGGAAUCUUUCUCUGUCGGGGACACUUCAAAGUAAUAAACUAACAAGAUCGUUUAUCAAAUUUCAUUUGCCUACAAGACCAAUUUCACCUCAGAAGAAAAUCAGAAUGAUUACAAGACUUCCCAAUGAGACAGUAUUACAUCUUCAAUUCUUAAAAGACGCUAGAAUAUUAAUUCGCUACAUAUAAUCAAGAUAUUAGUUAAGAACUGAGUUUAUAUUGUUUGGUUGCUCAGAAAGUAUGAGAAACAGAGAGAAAAUGAAGAAUGAAUUGUAACUGUAUUAUUAUAUGUAUUCGUUCAUUACACAUAUAUAUUCUCAGAUCUAAUGAAUUCUAAAAUGUUGUACACAUACACUGUACAUGUUAGCUGAAUCUAGGCCUUUUACAAGAGAUUCUUAACAAAUUUAACUAACUUGCGGAAACAAACUUAACUAGCUCACACGUGUAACAAGCUCAACUAGCUCACUAUAUUAAUAAGCCUCCUCAAACUCAAGGUCUAGGAGACACAUUGAGCUUGAAUCUAAGAUACUUAAAUUGAUCAAGAGCUAUCUACUACUUGAUCACAACUUGGGACAUGAUGAAUUUGGUGAAUAUAUCUACUGCUUGAUCACAACUUGGGACAUGAUGAAUUUGAAGUUCUUUCUAUGCUAUGUGCUUCAAACAAAAUGCAAACCAAGUUCAAUGUUUUCGGUUUUGGAAUGAUAUCUUGGAUUGCUGGCCAAUGCUUCUGCACUCUUGUUAUCACAAUUAAGCACCGGGGUUUGAAGCAAUGGUAUUUGUAAUUCUUUAAGCAAGUAGGUUAUCCAAAGCACUUCAAAGGUAGCCAAAGCCAAGGCUUUCACAAUUUUCAGCAUGUCUUCCUUGUUCUUGUGCCUAUUCUCAUCCUCUAAAAUAGAGGGUGCAACAUCGUCAAAGACCAGGUACUCCAUUAGGAUAUUGUUUGUCAGAUUGAUGAUGAGUUGACCUUACGAGUUAGGUAGACUUUCAAGUAGAAGCUCCACACGUUCAAUUUCUUCUAUUUUGUGACCCAACAAUGUAAAUUGUGAAAAUAAAGUUUUUAGAGUGUUGAUAUGGUCAGUUGACGAUGUGGUUUCCACAAUUCGAAAAGUAUAGAGUCUCCUCUUCAAGAAGAUCUUGUUGUGCAAUGACUUGGCCUCGUACAAUUUUAUGACAGUAUCUCAAAUACCCUUUGCUAUCUUUUUUUCCGCAACACUAGAUAACACCCCAUUUGCAAGUGCCAAGUAUAAAUCAGCAAUUGCAUUGCCAUCCAUCUCAUUCCACUUAUCAUUAAUGAUUCUUGUAGGCCUUUCUCCAAUUGCUUCUAAGCAAUUAUUUUUCCUCAAAAUUGCCCACAUUUUUAUUUUCCACAUCGAGAAAUUACUCCUGUUGAGCUUUUCAAUUUCAAACUUUGCUGUCAUUUUGUUGAUAAGUACCAUACACAAGUUAGUGUACCACCUUAAAUAGUUGCGAGUGAUCGUAUAUGUGAAAAUGCACACCAAGUUCCCAAGAAAGACUGGAGAAGUCACAAUGGUCCCACUUAAAACCCAACCUCCUUAGGUUGUUAUCGCCUUUGUGACAUAACUUUCUUAAACAUGUACAAAACCACACGGUUACUCCACUCACACCAUUAUUCCCUGCUUUGCAACACAAAAUUCUUGGAUCGCACCCAUUGUUUCACGUGAACAGUAAUCGUAUAUGUGAAUAGUACUAUAUACAUGAACAGUGCCGUCUACGUGAACAAUACCCAAACUUCAAAAUAUACAACUAAUGGCUCUGAUACCACUGUUAGAAAAUUAAUAGGUGAAGCAAAUACACAACUAAAGUGAAAUUGAGAAAUAUUAAGACAACGGAAUCAUAUAGGGACACCAGAAUUUACAUGGUACGACUUUUAGUCUAUUUCAAUGGGAGAAGAUAGAAAGAUAAAAUUUUACUAGUGAAAAGAGGAUUACAAAUAUUGUAAUAUUUUACCUCACUACCCAGAACCCCAAUACACCCAAUCUCUCAUAUUACUAUAACAAGAACUUAAAGCUCUGACACUCUCAACUCUCUACUUAUCUCUCUUAAGAGAAGAAAUAAGAUGAAAAAAAAAAAGGAUGCUGAGAUGAGGAGGAGCAUCCUCCUUUUAUAGACAAAAUUGGCUACCGUUCAUGCAAUAUAUUAUAUUAUAUUACAUAUAUAAUUUUUUUUUCAAAUUAUGUGGCACUGAAUUCGGUGUUGCUUUUGUUAAUUAAAUUUGGGGGCUUUUGUGCCCACCAACUUUGACAAAAACUUAUAUAAAGAAAAGCAUAUCAAAUUCCACCUAUCUAAGGCCCCGUACUAUAUGUUAUUAAAGUACUAUAACUUUUAAGGGACAUCUAUUAUAAACAAAAAAAAUUAUAACUAUGAAAUAAAAGUUGAUAAUGUGGAGUAAAUAUAAUUUUUUUAAAUAAUAAUCUUAAACAAAAAUAGUAAAUAUAUGAUAGGUUUUUCAUCAUAUAAGUGCGGGACCAAAUCAACUUAACUUUUAAUUUACAGCAACUAGUGUUUACCAAACACUUUAAUGUUAUAAGUUAAAAAUUAUAGCUAUCCAACCUCAAUACCAAAUAGAUCAUAAGAGGCACAAGACUUUUGGCUAUUUAGGUCGUUACUAAUUAGCUUAUUAGUCUCGAAUAGCUGCAACUUUCAAGGCGGUUAGAUUUCAGAAAGAUGCUGAGGAUGGUACAAGAUUUAUCAAACUGUAUUGACAAGUCAAGAUUGGGAAAAAUGAGUUUCCAUAAAUGCUCCAUUAUCCACCAAAGUUCAUUUAGUUUUUUAUCUAUAUGAGCCUCUCAGCUCCUCAACCUUUCCACACGAAAAUAUUUCUUUCCAAGAAUACAAGCUUUUUCAAAUUGUGAAUAUUCUCCAGCAAACCAACUUGGAAACAAUUGAUCCAUCAAUAUAUAUAUAUAUAUAUAUAUAUAUAUAGCAUGAAGAAUUUUGAUGAUUACAAAGCCGACCCUGCUGCCAUGUAUAUGAUGGUGAAGUACGUUCCCCUUUAUGUCAAUUCCUCCAAGUGGGAAUCUUUCUAUUUUUCUAAUGGAUCAUAUGUGAAGCUCCCUCAUAAAUUAUAAUACCAUACAAGGGGAAGGCAAUUAUAUAAUGUGCUCAUAUAUACACAUUGCGGAAGCAAUACUAGAUACUUUUCUAGCAUACUUUCAUGAAAACUUAAGAAGGGCUUUCACUAAGGAGAAAAUAUCUCAAUUGAGAAAAUAUUGAAUAUUAUUUAAGGAAAGCUUUUGUGUGCUAAUAAACUAUGAAUAAUAAGCCUAUAUAUUCUAGUAACUCACUUAAUCCUAAAUCUUCUCAAAUAAGAGAAAUAAUCUAAAAUCCCAGUUAGAUUAGAAUUAAAAAUAUAACUCAAAUAAACCUAAUAAAGUAAGAUAAACUCUAAUAAUAUUAAGGAAAAUUUACACUCGUCCACUUGUUUGUUUUGCUUUUUUUAAAAAUACACAAACACUUUUUUUUUCAGCAUGCCACCUGAAGUUUGCUUUUUGUUGCAUUCGUCCACUUCCGUCUAAUUUCCGUUAGUGGAUUUAAUGGAAUGUUAACGAAAUGACCUUUUUACCCCUCAAAAUUACAAUUUAACCCAAAAUAAAUAGAAAUUGGAGAUAAAUUGGAUGAAUUUAAUUUUUUUCAAAGGUGGAUGCUAGAAAUUGGAGGAAAAUAGUGUUGGUUGCUUGCUAAAUUUAUUACCNNNNNNNNNNNNNNNNNNNNNNNNNNNNNNNNNNNNNNNNNNNNNNNNNNNNNNNNNNNNNNNNNNNNNNNNNNNNNNNNNNNNNNNNNNNNNNNNNNNNNNNNNNNNNNNNNNNNNNNNNNNNNNNNNNNNNNNNNNNNNNNNNNNNNNNNNNNNNNNNNNNNNNNNNNNNNNNNNNNNNNNNNNNNNNNNNNNNNNNNNNNNNNNNNNNNNNNNNNNNNNNNNNNNNNNNNNNNNNNNNNNNNNNNNNNNNNNNNNNNNNNNNNNNNNNNNNNNNNNNNNNNNNNNNNNNNNNNNNNNNNNNNNNNNNNNNNNNNNNNNNNNNNNNNNNNNNNNNNNNNNNNNNNNNNNNNNNNNNNNNNNNNNNNNNNNNNNNNNNNNNNNNNNNNNNNNNNNNNNNNNNNNNNNNNNNNNNNNNNNNNNNNNNNNNNNNNNNNNNNNNNNNNNNNNNNNNNNNNNNNNNNNNNNNNNNNNNNNNNNNNNNNNNNNNNNNNNNNNNNNNNNNNNNNNNNNNNNNNNNNNNNNNNNNNNNNNNNNNNNNNNNNNNNNNNNNNNNNNNNNNNNNNNNNNNNNNNNNNNNNNNNNNNNNNNNNNNNNNNNNNNNNNNNNNNNNNNNNNNNNNNNNNNNNNNNNNNNNNNNNNNNNNNNNNNNNNNNNNNNNNNNNNNNNNNNNNNNNNNNNNNNNNNNNNNNNNNNNNNNNNNNNNNNNNNNNNNNNNNNNNNNNNNNNNNNNNNNNNNNNNNNNNNNNNNNNNNNNNNNNNNNNNNNNNNNNNNNNNNNNNNNNNNNNNNNNNNNNNNNNNNNNNNNNNNNNNNNNNNNNNNNNNNNNNNNNNNNNNNNNNNNNNNNNNNNNNNNNNNNNNNNNNNNNNNNNNNNNNNNNNNNNNNNNNNNNNNNNNNNNNNNNNNNNNNNNNNNNNNNNNNNNNNNNNNNNNNNNNNNNNNNNNNNNNNNNNNNNNNNNNNNNNNNNNNNNNNNNNNNNNNNNNNNNNNNNNNNNNNNNNNNNNNNNNNNNNNNNNNNNNNNNNNNNNNNNNNNNNNNNNNNNNNNNNNNNNNNNNNNNNNNNNNNNNNNNNNNNNNNNNNNNNNNNNNNNNNNNNNNNNNNNNNNNNNNNNNNNNNNNNNNNNNNNNNNNNNNNNNNNNNNNNNNNNNNNNNNNNNNNNNNNNNNNNNNNNNNNNNNNNNNNNNNNNNNNNNNNNNNNNNNNNNNNNNNNNNNNNNNNNNNNNNNNNNNNNNNNNNNNNNNNNNNNNNNNNNNNNNNNNNNNNNNNNNNNNNNNNNNNNNNNNNNNNNNNNNNNNNNNNNNNNNNNNNNNNNNNNNNNNNNNNNNNNNNNNNNNNNNNNNNNNNNNNNNNNNNNNNNNNNNNNNNNNNNNNNNNNNNNNNNNNNNNNNNNNNNNNNNNNNNNNNNNNNNNNNNNNNNNNNNNNNNNNNNNNNNNNNNNNNNNNNNNNNNNNNNNNNNNNNNNNNNNNNNNNNNNNNNNNNNNNNNNNNNNNNNNNNNNNNNNNNNNNNNNNNNNNNNNNNNNNNNNNNNNNNNNNNNNNNNNNNNNNNNNNNNNNNNNNNNNNNNNNNNNNNNNNNNNNNNNNNNNNNNNNNNNNNNNNNNNNNNNNNNNNNNNNNNNNNNNNNNNNNNNNNNNNNNNNNNNNNNNNNNNNNNNNNNNNNNNNNNNNNNNNNNNNNNNNNNNNNNNNNNNNNNNNNNNNNNNNNNNNNNNNNNNNNNNNNNNNNNNNNNNNNNNNNNNNNNNNNNNNNNNNNNNNNNNNNNNNNNNNNNNNNNNNNNNNNNNNNNNNNNNNNNNNNNNNNNNNNNNNNNNNNNNNNNNNNNNNNNNNNNNNNNNNNNNNNNNNNNNNNNNNNNNNNNNNNNNNNNNNNNNNNNNNNNNNNNNNNNNNNNNNNNNNNNGCGCUUUAACAAACACGAUUUUCCUCCAAUAAAAUAAAUACAAAUUUUUUAAAUUUAGUAACAAACAUUAUUUUCCUCCAAUAUCUAGCAUCCACCUUUGAAAAAAAUUAAAUCCAUCCAAUUUAUCUCCAAUUUCUAUUUAUUUUGGGUUAAAUUGUAAUUUUGAGGGGUAAAAAGGUCAUUCCGUUAAAUUCGCUAACGGAAAUAAGACGGAAGUGGACGAAUGCAACAAAAAGCAAACUUCAGGUGGCGCGCUGAAAAACAAAAGUGUUUGUGUAUUUUUGAAAAAAGCAAAACAAACAGGUGGACGGUUGUAAAUUUCCCUAAUAUUAAAUACUAAAUUGACUUAAAAUAUUGUAAUUUCUAAUAUAUUUUAUCCUAUAAGCUUCGUACAUCAUUCUCCUCCUCUUAAAAAAAAAACUCAUCUUCGAGUUUUGCUAAAAACAAAAGAGUACUAUCUCGUGGAUGAAACUUAAAAUAGAGUAGUAAUGUAUCUCGAAGCUCGAACUCAUAGCCUUUCAUACCAAUCUUCCUUGAAACUCGAAAUGUUUUAUACUUUAUCUUCUUCUUGAUUUUAUUAGUCACCCUAUAAAAUGGUAAAGUCAUGUAUGAACAAAUAACUUCUAAAUCAUAUCAACUUUAUCUUGGUCUUCAAGAAUAACUUUCUUAUCUCCACUAUGAAUAGGCAAAAUCAUAUCAAUUAUCUUUGGGUCUUCUUGAAUAAUUAGUUUGCCUUGAACUUUAAAUUCAAUUAUCUCUAGGUCUUUAAGAACAAUAUGCUUGGCUUCACGAAUAAUUGGUAAAACCAUAUCAACUUUGUCAUCUUAAAAAACAAUUGGUGUCUCUUCACCUUGAGCUUCUUGCGCAAUUUUAACUAUAUCGUUAGAUAUAAAAUUCAAAUCAAGAACUAAUUGUACCUCUUUAUUGAAAACUUCAAGUGCAUUUGAAAUAUCUUCAAAAGAAGCUUUAGUGAUAUUCUUUUCUUCCAAUGAUGAAACUAACAAAGAUUACUCUUCUAUAUUAAUAUCUUUAACUUCAUAAUCUAGGGUAAACUCUUUGUUUUCACUUACUGCAGUGGCUAAAUCUUGAACAAUCAAUAUAUCUUUAGUAACUUUAGAGCCUUCAAGUACAAUAUCUUUUUCCAUUGGGAAGUUUUGAUCUUUAUUGGCAUAAGAAAGUUGUUUUUCGAUAUUAGAAUCAUUCAGUGAAGAGAAGUCCUUGAUACAAUCUUACUUCGAUAACAAACUCACAUACUGUAGUUUUGGAAAAAUGAAUAUAUUAAACUCUUGAUCUUUUCUUCUUUGGCUCUCACAAUGCUCUUGUACCCGUUCAAAUCUCUUCAAUGCUUACUUUUUCUCUCUCUUGAUUUGCAAUUCAACUUCUAAAGCAAUGUUAACGAUAUCCCAAAAUUCAUAAGUCGCAACAAUUUGUAACAAAACUCGUUGCUUAAUAUCAGCACGUCAUCCUAUCACGAAUCUGGAAAUUGUAUCUUCAUCGUCUUUAGAAAGAUUCACAUGACAACGAUAAUUUCGAAGUUGAGAUUCACAAAAUUGAAUGGAAUUUAUACCUUGUUGACACUUAUCAAAUUUACGAUGGAUCAUUUGAAAAUAUUCAAGAGGAAUAAAAUAAGCUUUUAUCUUCAUUGUCAUGCUAUGCCAAGUUCGAAUAUGAUCUCUUCCAUGUUGAAUUCGUGCUGGUUGUAAGUUUGUCCACUAUUGUGAUAUAUGUUCCAUCAAUUUUGAGGACAUGUACUCAACAUGUUUAUCCUAUCUUUAAGAGCAUCUUUAAUUUUUUUAUCUUGGAAGAGGAUGGAAAGCUUGCAGCAGAAGUGCACAUUUGUGUACUAGCCUGACCACAAUGAAAGUCACGUAAAAGCAUAAAAGGCUGUUGAAGACGAUUGCUACGACGAAGAUCAGGGGCAGGUGAAUUUGAGUUUGAUGAAGAAGAUGUGGGUGAUAAAUGUGGUGGAGGAGAAAUGGAUAUAUUGGGAGAGGAAGGGUCGAUGCCAAGUGUAGAAGAUUGUAGAUUUUGUGUAGGUUCUGUAGAGGAAUUGUUAGGUGGUGUAAGUGAAGAUGAGGUGAGAUUUGGAUCAAAGUUAGAUAAAGACGUGUGAGAAGUAUUCAAUUGAGUAUUGAGAUCGGAAGUGGAAAAAGGAAAAGUGCUCUCAUGAAAAAUUAUGUCACGACUUGAGAAGCUUUUUUAUUAGAUGGAUAACCUACAAAAAUACACUUACGAGCACGUGGUGGGAAUUUAGUUAAAGGUUGAAUAUUGGUGGCAUAACAAAGAUAACCAAAAACUCGUAAAUGUGUGUAAGUGGGUGGUUUGUUAUAUAAUAUUUCAUAUGCCGAUUUAUAGUGUAACACUGGGGUAAGGAGUCGAUUGAUGAGAUAGGUGGCAGUAAGUAAGCUUUCCCCCCAAAAUUACAAUCGUAGAUGGGCUUGAAAUCGUAAAGCUCUACUUACAUUGAGAAGAUGAUGAUGUUUGUGUUCCACCACACCAUUUUGUUAUGGUGUAUAAAGAUAAGAGGUUUAAAGCAAGAUGCCAGGGCUAGAAAAAAAGGUUUCAUUGGGGUGAACUCUGAGCCAUUAUCAGCUCGUACACAUUUAAUUUGACAAUCAAAUUGAGUGUUAACAAACGUAAUAAAGGAUUUUAGUCAACCUUGAGUUUCAUAUUUGAAUUUCAUAAGAAAAAUCCAAGUAAAUCGACUAUAAUCGUCAACAAUUGUCAAAAAUUAAUGUGCACUUGUGUGAGUUGCAAUUUGAUGAGGACCCAAAAUAUCACAAUGAAUAAGAUCAAAAGAAUGCAUGCUUUCAAUUGAACUGGAAGAAAAAGAUAAUCUAGUUUGCUUUGCCAAAGGACAAAUUUCACAUGAAUGUUGAGAAUCAAACGUAAAAUAAGGAAAUUUUUGUCACAAAAGUUGAGAUGGUGCUUUAGAGGGGUGUCUCAAUCGUUGAUGCCAAGUGAUGGCAGAUGGAGAGGAGACUUGAUAAGAUUUUGGUAGUGAAGAUAACAACUCAGAACGUGGCUCAAGAUAGUACAAUCCUUUAUACUGCUUCCCCAGGCCAAUCAUCCUCUUUGUAGCUAGGUCCUGCAAUGCACAAAAGGUAGGGAAAAAGUGAAUGGAACAAUUUAAAGCUGAUGUGAGUUGACUAACAGGGAGAAGAUUCACAUGAAAAGAAGGUACACAUAGAACAUCUUUAACAUAUAAGUUGUUUGACUGAUGAGCUGACCCAAUACUUGUAAUUUUAGCAUGAGAGCCAUUUGGUAACACCACUAUCAAUGAUUCAAUUCAUUGAAUUAAAAUUUUGCAAGGUGGAUGACGAACAAAAAGGAGUAUAGAUACUUGUAUAAUUUGCACGAGGAUAAUUUUUACUGUUUCGGAAGAAGACUUUAAUUUGUGACAAUUCUUCGGGAGUAAAUUGAUGUGAUAAAUCAGAUGUUUGAACUGUCUUUAUAGGAGUUUGAGAGGAUUUAGUUCCUAUUUGAUUUACAGUAAAUUUAUGGGUUCGAUUUGGUGGUUGAACAUCCUUUCUAUGAAACUUGCGUCCAACAGGAAAACCAAUCAAAUAGUAACAUUUGUCUACUAUAUGAGGGGUGCCAUCACAAUAAGUGCACAAGAGCGGUUUCUUAGAAGAAUGAGAAUUGGACUAGUGUUGGAAAUCAGAUCCUUGUUGUUUAAAAUUUGACUGAGUUUUGACAUUCAUGGCAUGAUUUUGAUCUAUUCCCUUGUGUUCAACUAGCCCUUGUUGCUUUUCUUCUUCACAGAGAAGAGAAUAUGCUUUCUUGACUAUUGGUAAAGGCUGCAUCAACAUGAUUUGCCCUCUGAUAGCUGAAUAUUUUUCAUUCAAGCCCAUAAGAAAUUGUCUGAGCCUCAUUUUUUUCAUCUCUAUCAUUUAGAUGUUUUAUUCCUCCACAAUUACAAGGAAUGGGUGGGGUACACAUUUUCAAUUCAUCCCACAAGGUCUUUAUUUUGGUGUAAUAAGUAAAAAUGGAAUCUUGGUUUUGUUUCAAUUUAAUGAUGAGAUGUUGAACUUGAUAAUGAUGAGAAAAAUCACCUUGUGAGAAGCGUUCUUGUAGAUCCGCCGAGAUUUCUAAAGGCGUUUCCACGUAGAGAACACUGUUGGCAAGGUCUGGACUUAACGAGUUGAAGAUCCAAGAGAGAACCAUAUCAUUACAAAGUUGCCAUAUUUGAUAUGUAGCAUCGGUUUCAUUUGGUGUCGAUAAGGUUCCUUUGAUGAACCCUAAUUUGUUUUUGGCAUGUUUUUGGCAUUAAGACUUACCAACAUUGAUCGCCUCCAAAUAGCAUAAUUGGUUCCAUCAAGAACCUUUGGAAUAAGCAUCAUCCCUGGAGGGUCAGAGGCAUGAAUGAAGAGUGGAUUAGAUGGAUCUAUGGAUGGAAGAGACAUGACUUGAUCAAUAGGCGAUUGAGUUCCUUGACCAAUAAUAGAAUUUGUAGUGGAAAUAGUUUGGAUGACAAUAGUAGAAUCAGUAUAGAAAAGAGUUGCGGAAGCUUUGUUUUAGAGGUGUUAAGGUCAACGCUCUGAUACCAUGAAAAACUUAAGAAGAUUCCUUGUUUUCAUACAUUAUAGGAAGAUAUUACAUGAAUAUAUAACAGAGCUAAUAAGCUACAUAAGCAAAUGAAUAAAUCUAAUAUCUAAUUCCUAUAUCAAAGGGAUCAAAUAAAAUAAAUACAAUAAGUCAAGAGAAUCUCUUGACAAAAAUCAAUUACAUAAAUUAAGGGAAAUCAAUCUUAACAGUAAAGAGAAAACAAAAUAGACAAAUCCAUGAGAUCAAGAAAAAAAAUAACAAGUAAAUCAAACAGCCACUGAGUUAUAUGAACUAACCUUCCUUCAAAUUACGAGCCAACAAUCAUCUGUAUUAUUGUGCCUUGCCACCUCUUGAAAAUCAUGAACUUUGGCCACUCUUUUCUAUCUAUGGAGCUGGUGCUCACACUGAACAAAUUUAAUUGAGAAAAAAAAAGUUAACACACGAAUUUGCUUUCAAAUAAGUAAUUACUAAAGCACAAAAUCUUUACCAAAAUAAAAAAUUCUCAUUCCUAACAGUUGUGCAAAUUUUAUUGAACUCGCAAGUGCACGAAUCUAUUGUAGAAUAGAUCAAUGGUGACGAGUGUCGAUCCCACGAGGAGGUGGAUUUUAAUUAUAUAUAGAAUUAAUUUUCUAUGAGGGUGGUUGGAUUUGUGGUGAAAGUGAUUUAGACUAUCUUAGAAUUUAAAUUGGAAUGGCGGAAUUAAAUUAAAGUGGAAACUAUUAUAAUUGAAGUGCUUGGGUAUCUGAAUCCGCAUCAACAUGCACCAUGGGCUAAAUAUUCCUUAUUAAUGUCAAUUAAAUCAUGAGGGGGAUUUCCACACCUCAUGAACCACACUCUAAUCAAUAUGGUGCUAAGGGCUCAUCGUGCCAAAUAAUAAUAACCUUGUACUAGGGAGCCAGUGAAAUCAGAGCGGUAUCUAGACAAAAUUAUUAUUAUUUAUUAACGAAAAGUCAAAACAAUCACAAUAAUUAGAGGGGAAGAGAAAGUAAAUUUACCAAAUAAAGCCCAUGGCAUAUGUUGAGACUUCAUCUUCAACUCAAGCUUGAAAGAAAAUUAGCUACUCAUAAUUGAACUAGGGGCAAAAUGAAAAUUUAUUAAAAUACAUAGAAAAUACAAGAUGGAGAAGGAAUUACAGAAAAUUGAACUCAAAAAAUGAAUUCAAGGAUGCCAAAUUAGGGGGGAGAGCCCCCCUUUUUACAGAUACACUGAGUAAAUCAUGGCCAUCGGAUUAAAAAUAUUUUGGACGCUCAGGAUUGCGCAACGUCAUCAGUCAACAGUAUGUGGUUUGAACAGCAACAUGGUUGGACCACGCGGUUUGAACAAUCAGGCGACUUGAAUAGUUACGCGGUUUGGUUGUAAAUAAUCCCUUGCAUAUGCAUGUACCGUACGCGCGAUUUUUGGUCCACUGACAUGCUGCCACAUCACCGAUCAACAGUGCAUAAGAAUUUUAGUCCAAUAGGAUCAUGACACCUCAUCGGUCAAUAUUACAUCAUCGGUCAAUGCCAUGUCAUCGUUCUGUAUAUGUGAACAGUGUCGUGAACAGUAACAUAGACAGUACCGUACAUGUGAAUAGUACCAUACAUGUGAACAAUGUCAUUUUUUCUUUUAUGCUCCUCCUAAGGUUUUCGAUUGUCCUGAGUUCAAAAGUGAUGUCCGUUUUACUGUCUGAUCUUUCAUUUAUUGUGAAAUGACCAUGAUGCCCCUAAAAUACAUAAAAUAUUUAAUUAAAAUAAAACACACAUAAUUAAAUCACAAGAAGCUUAAAUAAAUAAAAGUAAGGAUGUUCGUAAGACUUGAAAUGUAAAAUGACGAUUUUCGCCUUUAUAAAUAUACACUUUCUAACACUCAACACUAACCCAUCCUUCACUAGAUUCUGAUAAAAAAAACUCAAAAUUCUGAUUAACAAUCCAUAUUUGACCAAAGAUCAACUUUUGGUUCCACCGUGGAAUUGCAAUUUCCCAUUAACAAUCUCUAAAAAGGAUCAUAUAUUUGAUUUUAUCAAUUAAUCAACAACCAAUUUAAAAGAAAAUUCCCAAAAAUUAAUCAAGAAAACCCUAGAUACAAACCAAGAUCCCUAAUCACAAAUUAAAAUGAAAUAAUUGAUUAUUAAGAAAAGAGAAAGACGCCAACUAACCACAUGAGAUUAAAGAGAGCGGCCUAAUUGACUUUGACGAAAUUAUUAUCCCAAGCCUUGAGAUAAUCAUCGAUGCCAGUAGUGGCGAUAUCGUCGGACUUAGAUGCCUUGUCAUGCUUAUUAGAAUACUCGAUGGCCUUAGAGACGGCCUUACUUGUGACAUUGGGAAAAAGGAUAUCGUCAUCGGAACAAUCGUCCUCAAACAUGUGCUUGACAAUGGUUAAUUAGGGUUUAAUUCCAAAAUUUUGAAAGGAAGUGAAAGAGACAAAAAAUAAUGGGGGACAAAAUAAAAAUGAGGAUAUUGCAGGCUUAAUAGGAACGAGAGUGAUAGCUGAACAAGAAGAAUAAAUCAAGCAUGAUGGCAACGGCAAUGUGUGAAUGGUAGAAGAAUGGCAAGAAUGAGGGGUUUAGACAAAGUGUAUGUUAACGGCAAGAAUGAAAGAACUAGCAUUUAGGGAUUUUGAUUUCUAAGUGUGUGUGUGUUUAGUACUUAGAAAAAGAAAAAGGAAUGUUAAAACUUAAAAGUAACCAAAACAGAACAUUUUGCUAGCAUUUUCUUUUCUUUUUUUUCAAUUAUUAAAACGUAACUUUUGUUUUUUUUAAAUAAUAGAUUAAAAUUUGGGUCAAACAUGGUCAAAAUAACUUUUUUAUCACAAUUUUUUGACAGAUCAAAUUUCUAUCACGAUUCUAUCAUAAGUUUGUGAUAUACAAUAAUUUUAUCACAACACCAUCAUAAAUUCGUGGUAGAAAAUAUUUCUAUCACAAAACUAUCAUUGAUCUAUGAUAGAUUGAAAAUUCUAUCACGAGUCCGUCGUAUUAUUAUGAUAAAGGUCAUUUUGCCUAGAAUCCAUUAUAAACUAUAUGUCAUCUAUUGUCUAUUUUCUGGUAGUGAAUGACUGUCAUGUGUUACACUUUUUUGUUAAAUUUUUAUGAUGGUUUUAAUUCAUAACCAUCAUUAAAUAUUCUUUUUAAUGAUGGUUGUCCAAUGAAAUCAUCAUGUUAUAGUAUAUCACUACUAGAAAAAUGGGCUUUACUGACACCAAUUUAGUGUCAGUAAUUACUUUUGCUGACACUUGUUAAUUGUGUCAGUAAUGCUCAAGCCAGAACACACUGACACUAAUCUUUGGUGUCAGUGAUUUUUGCGUCAGUAUUUUAUGUCACUAUAGUAUCACCACCAUAGUGAUACUAUGAUGUUAGUAUCAGUUGAUACUAUUUUUAUGUCAGUAUUUUGUGUCACUAGAGAGUCACAAGGAUAGUGACUCAAUCGCGUUAGCAUUUAAUGAUACUAUUUACAUGUCACUGAUUUACGUGACUACAGUAUCAGGAAUCCACUGACUCAGUAACAUCAAAAAUUCUUAUCGUCAUUUAAAUAAUUAGUGUCAGUAUUAACGGUGCUAUACUGGUUGUGUUUUAUUUUUUUUAAUGACAUUAUUCAUGUUUAUUUUACAAUUAAAAUAAACCCAAAAUAUAUUAAACAUACCAAAUCUUGUAAUGCAAUUCACAUAAUACACAUUUCAAAUACAUCAGUUAAAUUAAAAUAGUUCAAAUACAUCAUUGUUUGGGGGUAAAAAACAUGUUCAAGUACAAAAUUAAGCUUUGAACAAGUAGUAUACAUGAUAAAGUACUAAAUUAAUUUCGGAAAAUUUAGCCAAGAAGAAAAAACAGAUAACAAUGUCACUGAUUUUGGAGUCACUGAUUUUGGAGUCCGCAUAUGCCUUCAUUUUUUUUCCACCUACAAGUAUAUAAAAUCAAUUAGCACACCACAAAAAAUAAAUCACAGAUUUGUUUUAAGGAAAAAUAAUCAUAAAUUACUUGUAUGUUACCUCGCGAUUGUAGGCUGUAAUUAACUUGGCAACGUAUGUAGCCCACUGAUCACGAAGUCGCGAGAGGUCCUUGACAGUGUAUUCCUCAACUCCCUUGAACUUUAAUUUUAAAACAACAAGUUAUUCACAGAAAAUCCUUGACUAAACUACUUAAUUAUCAUUCAUUUAAAUACAUUUGUGUGUUAACAAUUAAAGCCAACAAAUAAACUCCAACAAUGUUACUGUUUUAUCCAAAAUUAUAUAGGUAAAUACUGAACAUCCUGAUCAUGGUAAUUCCAAAAAAAAAAACAACUUGUGAACCCCAACAACAACAAUAUUUGAUAGCCGAAGCAACUUGUGAACCCCAACAGUACGCGAUUUAAUACAAAUAUGGAUGUAGAUACAAAACCUUAAUUAGGAUGACAACUUAUCCUCAUCAAAGUAAAGUACAAGCAACGACACCAUAGCACAUCCCCACUAACAACUACUUUGCAACCCAAACAAUUGUUUUGUGUUGGGAUAUGCAGUACAUUGUGUAUAUCCCAAAUCCUAAUUCAUGUCUAUAUGGAUAUUCAUAUAAUCUAUUCAACAGUAUGCAACAUAGUCACCAUUAUAAGUACCCUCACAGUUUAUAAAAUGCAUACAAUACGCAAUAAAAAGAUAACUGUAAAGAAGCACACAGGUGUUUGAGCUGAUUCAUUUCACAAUAAAUUAAAACAAUAUGAUACAGUAUUGUAAAAAUCAUUUUCAAUACUUAUAUUAUUUUUCAGAACGUUCACAUUUGUGAUGAUAUCUUGCAUGUAUUUCAUCACAUAGUAACCACAUUCAAAGCUGCUCGGCUGCCUCGGACACUACAAGAUCAAAAUUACAUUAAUUUUUUACUGUACGUUAACAAUAAUUAGUUAGGUUUGUCUGAUUUUUACCUUGACAGGUAUCCAUUGAACAUUGGCCUUUGUAUCAGAAUUUAAACUCUGAUGUAUUCGAAUCCCCCUACAAUUAAGAGACAUAGCUAACGUUAGCAAAUAAUUAGCAUAAGACAUAAAAAUAAAAUAGCAUGAUCAAAGAUACAAAUAACAAACUUAACUGAUUGACAAUCUGCAUUAGCUCUUCAUCAGGACUACCUUCCAAAGGAUCAAGGUAAUAGGUUGUACGUCUCACCAUAUCAAUUGCCAAUAACACCCAGUGGGCACUAAACAAAGUAAAAAUUGUUCUCACACAUGAAUUACAAGUAAAAGUGAUUAAUCUACAAAUUAAAGAAUAUUACUAGCAAAUGAAAAAGGUUAUACCCAGGGUUAUACGGGAAUACGAUGACUUGUCCCAAUUCUGCCAAGCCUAACAGUUUUGAAAUGUAUUGAGUCCUGUCUUUGAAACUGACCCUUGGAUAUAGCUUCUCAAAAAGCCCAAACUGAACUGGUUUAGUACUUCCAUUGCUCUCCAUCUCCUCAUACAGGUGUCUAAGAGGAAACAAAUAUAUAUAACGAAGUAAGUUUGAAUAUAGGAAACAAAAUAAUAGGGCCAAGUUUACUAAAACAUAAGUUAUGAUUUACCGUACUUGAUCCAUAUGUUAAUGAUGCAGUUUGAGACCUCUUUAAACUCGAUGAUUUCAGCACAAAUCAUUUUGUCCAAGUGUGUUUCCCAAAUUUCACCAAAGGUUGCUGUGUCAUGCCGAAUCCUGAUCAACCGAGGUAAAGAAUUCUCGAUGAACAUGGUAAACAUGUUCAUAUAUUCACUCAUGUCAUUCUUUCUUGAUCGUGCUGCUGCCCGUGUAUUCUUCACACGUACAUUAAGGUCUUUUGCUGCUGGUCUGAUGACUCGGGGUUCUUUUUUGGCUAUUUCUGCUGGUCUGAUGACUCUGGGUUCUUUUUUGGCUACUUCUGCUGGUAUGAUGACUCUGGGUUCUUUUUUGGCUACUUCUGCUGGUCUGAUGACUGGUGGUUCUUUGUUGGGUACUUUGUCAUGACAGGAGAACUGCCUAUCUAGUACUUUAGGAGUUAGUCGAGGAGACCUUCUCGGUGUGGGCUUUAAAGUAAUUUCACAGUCUACUUUUUCGGGGGUUUGUUGAGGAGUUGCUUGGGAAAUUGUGGUGGGACUGUCCUUGAUUUUACUCUUCACAGAUUUUGGAGUCGACUUACCCGAUGGGAAAUCAGCCUUUGCAAUAAUCAAAAUACAUACCAUUAGUAGUAAUACAUGCAUAUACAAAUGGAAAUAAAAUAAUGACAUGUAACAGGCCAUAUACCUUUCUUUUUCCAAGAGUUUCAGGGGAUUGUUGAUCAUUGUCAAUCUGAACACCAGUGGAAGUUUUGGGCUUAGGAAAGUUAGAACUUCCAACUUCAGUAUUGCUGUACGCAUUUAACUUUGCAUUCAUGCAUUCUAAUUGAGCAGACAUGAAUUGGAAACUCUCUUGAUACAUCUUUCUUUCUCUUGCUAACUCAGUGGCAUCAGGGACAUGAAAGUACAUAGAUGGGGUGACGAAUUGCCCCACUCCUUGCACCCUACUUCCAUUUGGCUGCUUCUGAAGAGCUUCACCUAGAAUGUCAUGUGACCCUUGUGAUUGGAAUGUUCCUUGUUCAACAUGACUCUUCAGCUCAUUCUACAAAAAAAUAUAUUGUAAAUCCGCAAUUACGAGUACAAGACAUCAGCUAAACUAAACUAAUAUCCUUCUUGAAUCUUUAACAAAGAGCAAAUCCAUAUACAGUUCAAAUUGAAACUACAGAAAAUAUUACAAGACAACACCUCAAACAAGUUUUAACCUUUUAAUAUGCGAAGAAAUAAGUUCUGAUGAAAUCUUACUGAGUUUCUGUCAAUUGUAAAUGUUGCCAUACAAUUAUUACAAAAAGCAGUAUAUAUGUACGUUAAUAUCUACCCCCACACACACAUAUUAUAAAGAAAAUUCAUAAGAAUUAAGUAUACAAGUGACUUACUAUUUUCUCAGCAAUUGGCGUCACAUCAGAAUCAUAUUUGCCAUCUCGGUCUGCUCGUGCCAUUAACCAAGCUUCACUGCGAUCAAUCUCCCGCUCAGAAACUCCACUCUCCUUUUUCUGUUACAAGGUGACAUAAAACAUAAAUAAUUGAUUCUAUUAUAUUAUACGCAUUAGAUUACUUAUGUUACUGUAAUUACUCCAUAUUACCACACUUACUUUUCUAUACAACAUGCCACCAUAUCCUGUGCUACCCAAGCGAUGGUUGUAGACAUUCUUUGCUCUUUUGUCUUUUGCCUUCUUACUUUUUUCCUGCACAAACAGUUUAUAUGAAGAACAAAACGUUACCACUGAUUAUUAGUAACUACCAACAAUUAAACUUUGUCAACAAAAAGUUUCCAAUCUUCUUUUUUAAUGCUUGGAUAUUCAAUAGGAGGCAACCUUAGUGACUUUCGAUCGUCCUUGUUAGGUAGAACGAAUUCAGUUGCCAGUUCACAACGAAAGUUUCUUGAUGCAACCCCCAUCCACUUUAAUACUUGGCUUUUGCAUUUCAAGCUCAAUUUGAAUUUUUUCUGUCAACCAAUAACAUGGAUUAGCAACAACUUUAAAAAAAUCUGGAUGUUAUAUAAAAUCUUUAAACAUACUAUGAAACAAGAAAACAAAACCUGAAAAUGAACCCACAAAGUUUCCUUUAUCUCCAGUGGCACACGCCUCCAAUCAUCAAGUAAAAUUGAAAUUGUUUCACGUACAAUGACUCCAAUGUAACUCCUAAGAUCAUUUCUUCCCUUUCCAACCGGAACACCAUAAGAAUUGUACUCAAUUGCAGCUUCAUGACUAACUUCUUGUUUUUGCAAACCUUUUUUUUUGUUUGUUUUCUUCUCCUUGGUCUUCCGUCGAGCUCCGGAAGAGUGAACUCAACAUCGUCAGCCAUCUCCUACAGUCCUGAAAAUGAUUAAAAUAAAUAAGUAUAUCAUUUAGAUUAAUAAGUUAAUACAAGAGCAAUAGCAUAUAAUGAAAUAAAUAAAUCACUUACUGGAAAACUUUGAAAAUUGGUGCUGGAAACUAACUACAAUAAUGCAUUCACUGAUUUUCUAAAUCAAUAUCUAUUGGAAUAGCAUCACAAUCUUUUCUAUCAUAAAUUCCUUCAUCAUCUUUCUCAUCCAACUCACAUACUGGAAGUUUGUUAGAUAAUGGAGAAAAUACAUCCACGUCUUCACAUCUUUCCCCAUUUAACUUAUAAGCUUUGUCGGUCACUGAACAAACUAUUGAUUUAUUAUUCUCUAGCUGGUCCUUUACAUAAAAUACUUGCUUUGCAUGACAAGCCAGAAUAAAGCAAUCAGAUUUAUAGCCAAUCCGAUUUAAAUCAACUACAGUGAAACCUAAAUUGUCAGUGCAAACCCCUCUAUCAUCUACCCAAUCACACUUGAAAAGUGUUUUUUUAACCAUUAGAUAAUCAAGCUGCCAAAUCUCAUCAAUGACUCCAUAAAACGUCAUGUCUCCAAAAUGAGGACUUUUAUCUUUUGAGCUUGAAAUCUGUAGAGUGUUAGCAACAACCCUAACACCACUAUUUUGGGUCAUACGAUUACAGUCCCGGUCCCUCGUUGUAAAAUUGAAGCCAUUUAUCUCGUAGCCAGAGAAGGUCACCACGCUUGAGCGUGGUUUGUUUGCUAACCAGCACACUAUUUCGUCAAUCGGCACAUUAUUUGCUUUAUCAUGUGCCACCUAUAAAUUAAUUUAACAAGUACAGUAAUUAGUAACAUGUAGAAAAAUCUUGUUAAGUUUAUAUCCUAUAUUGUAUUUAGUUAAGUAAUUCUAACCUUUGCUUGUAACCAACCAGAAAAUGUUCGUAUGUGUUCAUUUUGCAACCACGGAUUUGUUUUUGCCUUAUAAGGGUUUCUUGAUGCCAAAUAAUGCAUAUGCUCCCUACCUAGAUGCUCCACAAUUUGGGCAUUCAGCAAGAUCAGCAAAUUCAUUCCUAUACAAAAUGCAGUCAUUUGGACAUGCAUGUAUUUUUUCAUACUCUAAGCCUAGCACUUUCAUUGUUUUCUUAACCUCGUACAUUGACAUAGGUAGAGUAUUAUUAUUUGGCAAAAUAUCAGCAAGGACUUCUAACAAAGCAGAAAACCCUUUAUCGGACCACCCAUAGUUCCCUUUCACAUUGUAAAGUCUCAUUAAACUAGAUAACUUUGAAUGUUUUGCACCCGGGUACAAAGGCUUUUCAGCAUCUUCAAGCAUAUCCUUAAAAGAACUAGGAUCUCUAUCACAAUGCUCGUAAGCAUCUUCGACCAUGUCAAUUAUAUUACUGUAAUCAUGACAUCUAAAUCUUUGACUAUGUGAAUGGUCUUCACAAUUUGUAAAUGUAGAUUUAGAGUCAGUCUCACCAUGCCAAGUCCAAACAAUAUAUCUUGGGAGAAAACCUUUUUCAAAUAAAUGAUCCUUCACUUGUUGAGGAGUAUGAAACUCCAUAUUACAACAAAAGGUGCAAGGACAUCUAAUUGACAUUCGAUUUUCAGCAUUCAAAAUGGCAAAAUCUAAGAAAUCAGCAACUCCAGAACGAUACUCUACAGACAAUCUAUCACAAGUUAUCCAACUUCUGUCCAUUUCAAAUAUUUUACCUGUUCACAUAUGUAAUGUUAGUUUAAGUUUAAUUAAAUUGCAUGAUUAAUUUAAAGUUCAAUGUUAUUAUGAUUAUAGUUGUAAUAAUAAACUUAUAAUUCUGGAAAAUCAUUAAUAGCCCUAUAAAUCAUUAAUUAUAAUAAUAAUUUAGACAAAAUCCUGAAAUUGAAACAAAAUAAGUUUUGAAACUUAAAUAGGAGAUUAAUAGGUAAGAUGGGUGCUAAUGGCUUUUUAAGUAGUCGAACUAAUUCAUAAGUCAAGUAACUAACAAAAGUUAAGAGUUCAAAUAAAUAAUGUCUUCAUACCACUUUGCAAGCCAUUUUUUAAGAUUCUAUAAAUCAUUUUUUAACUUCAAAUACAACAUGCAGAACUACUUUAAAACAAGCAUUUCUUUAUUGAAUCAAACACAAAUCAUCAACUUUAUACAAUCUCAAAAUACUCACAACCACGAACUUAAUUAAUUCAUAUCAUAGUCAUUGUCUCUAUUACAAAUCGUCCAACCAAAACAGAAUAAAUAAACAAGUAGGAUUAUAUAACAAAAUUUGCCUCUCUUUACAUGAAACAGAGAUGUAAAUAGUUUGUAACCACUAAAUACACAGUCAUUCAGCCAAUAUAACACCCAAACAAUCAUCUCCUAAUCACAAAGGCAAAAGCUAAAAUCAAAUUUCAUAUUUUAGUACAUUCAAAAUCAACUAACUUAUUGCUCAAAGUUAAGAAACGGAGCUAACAGUUUAUUUCAGAAACUAAAAAAAAUGCACAUUCUUAGUUUUAAAUAACAAUGACAGUAAAUCACAUGCACAAAAGUUUGAAACUGACCUCAAAUGUGGCAGAAAAAACAGAGUCGCAGCAGCAAGUGUUUUGAGUUUAAGUAAUGCACCACUUAAAAUGCCUGUAUUUUUGGACUGCAUGUGAGUGAAGAUAUAGAAAAUAAGAACAAAAAUUUCAAGUUACGAAUAAAUAAAUAAAUAAAAAAUUUGGAAAACAAAACCCACCAGGGUUGCACGACUGUUCAAUUUCUAAAUAUCUGAAACAACCCAAAAAUAAAAAUUCAAAAAUAUUAUUCAUAAGCCAAAUUAAAACAAACCCAAUAAUUAAAUUGCACAAAAAAAUAAAACAUUCCGCCAUUACCAGCUGAUAACCUCCUCUAUAGUUCUUUCUCUGGACUUAACUUGUCAGGGAGAAUGAGAUUACCUGAAUACCGAACCGAUGGUGCCACUUCACCCCUUGUCGAUGGCUUUUACUUGCUUGCCUAGUAUAGGCACUGGAUGGUUAAGUUGGAGAAAAACCCCUUCGAUAACAAGCGAUUAGGGUUUUGGUUUGUGUUUCAAUUUGGGGAAAAUGGAAAAACGAAUCAGAGUUUUAGGUUUUCAUUAUCUAUCUAAAUUAAUUGAAUUUAAUUUGUAAAUGGAUAGUGCAAAACAGAAGAGAUCGAGAAGAGAAAAACGAAAGCGAAAGUGAACGAUGAAAGCAAGAUAGAGACAGUCGAUAUAGUCUAGAUGGGGAGAACAAGUGUGUUUUAUGUUAUUGUUAUUUAUAUUUUCAUUUUUUAAUAAUUUAAAUAUUAUUAUGACUUUGACUCAUCGAGAUUUGAUGGUCUGUGCUCCAAACAUUAAAGCUUUAAAUCUUAGAGCUCCCAGGUUCGAGUUGGAGCUAAAACAAAAUUUUUAUGAAUUUUUUUUAUCAUUGAUACUUUAGUGUUAGUGAUUUUUGAUGUUUAGUUUACUGACACCCUAGUAUCAUUAAUCUCUGAUUCCUAUUUGUCAAAAGCGGAAAAUGGUGCAUAUGUACAUAAGUACUGACACUUUUUGCAAAGUGUCAGUAACGAAGUGUCAGUAAAGCCCAUUUUUCUAGUAGUGUAUUUUGCUACUUUUUAUGACGGUUUUUGUUAAUAUUCAUCAUUAAACAAACAUUUCCAAUCACGAUUUUGCAUAAAACAAUCAUCUUAUGUGAUAGUUUUAUAUUACUUGUUAUGAUGGUUUAUUAAAUAAUCAAUCAUGGUAUAGGAAUUUAAAAUGAUCAUUAAAAUAGUCUAACUGUUCAUCGUGCAACCAUUAUUCUUUCUUAAGACUUUAUGGGGUGCAUCUUCUUCAAGUAUUCAAAGUGCUCACUAAUACAAUUGUCCAAUGUGUUACCUAAUUUUAGAGAAAUUAAAUUAAAAUGGUCAUUAAAAUUAUGGACAUAUAAUGACCUUUGUAUAAAAAAAAAAGUCAUUCACAUUAAGACUAUUUUUAACUAGACAUAUGAUGACCGUUGUAUGUAAAACCAAUCAUUAAAAAUUUUUACUUUCAAUAAUGGUUUUUAAGAACCGUCACUAACAUUAAGACUAUUUUUUAACUAGACAUCUAAUUAGGGGUGUUCGCGGAUCGGAUUUUGCGGAUUAGAAAUCAAUCCAUAUUGAUCCACGAUUUUACGGAUUAUAAAUUUUUAAUUCAAUCCAAUCCAUGGAUUGAUGAAAUUCAAUUUAAAUAUAAUCCAUAUAUCUACGGAUUAGAUGCGGAUUUGACCCAAUCCAUAUCCAAUCCACCAUUUUUGCGGAUUGGUUUGCGGGCUAAAAAUUUUUAAUCAUGUCUUAUCCACGAAUUAACUAAAUAAAAAAUAAUAUAAAAAUAAUUUUACUAUCAAUCAAAUUCAAAAUUAAAUAAGAUUAAAUUAAAUUAAUUUUUUAAAUAAAGCUAGAAAAUACAUUCAAAGUUUCAAAAUAUAACACACCAAAAAGAAAAAAAAAAUAUCUCAUUUGUUUAGAUUAGUAUAUGAAAAUUAACUGAUUGGGAAGCUAUAUAUUUUUAUUUAAUUAUUUUUAUUUUAUAUUAGUAUUGGAUAAGAUAUAAUAUGAUGUUAAUGUAACUAUAUUUUAAUUUAUUUAUUUAUUAGUAAGUAUAAUGUCAUGUUUACAAGUUUAAUUUUUUAUUAAAUAAAUUUUUUUUUAUUUUUUUACGAAUUCACGGAUUUUUACGGAUUCACAGAAGUAAAUCCAUAUCCAAUCUACUGAUUGCGGAUUUUCAAAUUUUCAAUCGAAUCGAAUCCACCAAUCCACAUAUUGGAUUUUUACAGAUCGAAUUUUUGCGGAUCAGACGGAUUGAGCGGGUUAGAUUGGAUUCUGAACACCCCUACAUAUAAUGACUGAUAUGCUUAAAAACAAUGAUUAUUAUUUUUUUCUUUCAAUGAUGGUUGCAAUAAACAAAUUUGUCAUUAAAAUGAAGAGUAUAUUUUACUUGAUAUUUAAUGACUGUUCUUUUACAUAACAGUCAUCAUAAGUGUUACAUAUUGGACCAUACAUAAUAACAACUAUUAAAUAUCUUUAAUGAAGGUUGUUAAAAAGAACCGUCAUUACAUAUCGAUCAUUGUUUUACAUUUUUGUAGUAGUUAAAGUUCUAAAACAAAUACACACAUUUUUCAUUAAAAAGACAAAAUAAUAGCAUCCAUAUUCGCUCUCAUCUUUUGAAUGAAAAUAGGGUAAAUUGAUAUUUUCAAAAGAUUACGGAGAAAUUAAGAUUGUUAUCUUGAAUAGGGUGAAUGGUAUUUAUCCUAAAAUAAAAUUUUAAUUUGAAUCUAGAGAUGGCCAACAAGCUGGGCGGAAUGGCUCAUCAAAGGUAAGCUCGUGAGGGCCCAUGGGCUGGCAUAGCAUGAUCCACCAUGUCAAUGGCCCAUGCCUGUCUAAUUUUUUUUUCUUAAGUCCAGCACGGCACACUAUACAAGCCCACACAUGCCGUCCUAGACGGUAUUGUGGGCCAUGCUCAAGAAAAAGCAAGGCAAGUAUUUUUUCUUUUUCUUUUUUUUUAAAUUUUUUAAGAGUUUUUCAAGCCCAUAUACAUUUUUUAGGCUGUCUUUAGUUAAAUUCUACAUAAAUGAAAGUUCAAAACUCAAGUCAAUAUUCAAUAAUAAUAAACUAAUAAUAGUAACGGAAUGUAUUACUAACUAUUAGGUUAGAGCCUAUGGAAUUGGAAUUCAUUUUUCUUAACAACAACAACAACAACAACAAUAAUAGCAGUAGUAGUAGUAUUAGUAGCAGUAGUAAUAAAAUAAUAAUUAAUUAAUCUUUCUUAAGGGUUAAUAUUUAAUUGUUAACUUGAACUUAUAUAGAGUAAUAGAUCAUAGUUGAUAAUAACAUUAAUGCUUAUAAGUUUUAAAUUAAAAUAUAACAAUUAACUUUUGAUUUAUACUAAAACAAAUUUAUUGUUGUGUGUAAAUGGUGAAAAAUAAUUUAUUCAUAAAUGAAAUAUAUUUCAUUUGACUAAUAUAUGAUUUUAUAAAUGAAAUAUUAAAGUCGUAAAAGUUUAGAUUUAUCAUUUUUAAAAUUGUAAUAUUUAAUAUUUUAUUUGUUAAAAUCAUGAUAUUAUUGAUUAGUGUUAAAAAUUGUAUGUUUUUAAGAGAUAAAAAUGUUAUUUUGUGCUUAUAAUAUAAUUUACAUUUGUAAUUAUGUAACAUAUUAUGAAUUUCUAAUUAUUUUUCUAAAUAUUUGAUUUUGUGUAAUUUUGUGUGUUUAUUAUGUAAAAAUAAUAAUUUCACACAAUUUAAGCUUCCAAACAAAUGUACGGAUGUCAAAUUUGGAUCCCAGAAGUCCUGAAAAUUAGGUCAUUGUCAACAAGGAUCCACUACUUUUGUUGUAAAUUUAUAAUUUUUUACCAUGAUAAAUGUGGUAAUUGUGAAAUUAUAUGUUUUUACCAUAUUAGGUAUUGUAAUUAAUAGUGGAAUGUGUUGGAUGUGCUUGAGUGGAUUAAGUUAGGUUUAUAUUUUGUUAGUGGGACGAACGUAUGGUUAAGAUGUAAUUAGCUUUAUUUAUUUGUGUGGUGUUGAUUAAUCAUGUAUUAGUAUAAAUAGAGAGAGGGGGAACACACCACCACACCUUUUCUUGUCUUCUUUCCCCUCAAGUUUUUAUUUUAUUUUAUUUUAAUAAUUCCCUUUAUUUCAAUUAUGUUUAGUUAAAUACUAAUAGUUAGGGGAAGGUGAAACUCUUAGUAAAAAAAUAUGAUUUAAUCAAAUUAUAUUUUUAUAUUUUGAAAAUAUAAUAUUAUUUUCUAUUUAAUUUUAUCCAUAUUUUAUAUUUUGAAAUUUGGAUUUAUUGUAAACAAACAUGGGAGUUUGACACAAUGAAUUCUUAAUAUCUUAAUAUAAAAUAUGUAAAAUGAUAUUUUGACUUAUUGUAGACAAGUUAAGUUUUGACACAUUAAGUACUUAAUCCAUAAUAAAAUUAAUGGGAAAAUAGUUGUAAUUUAUACAAUUAAUCUUUUGGGCAAUAAAAUAAAAAUAAAAACAAUUUAUUAAAUUGUAUUUACUACCAAGAGUGGAUCCAUAACCCUAACUAAUUUAAUUUCAUAGUUUUUCUCAAAUUAAAUUACAUAUAUUUAAAUUUUAUUUUCAUUUUUUAGAUAAACUUAAAUAAAUAAAUUAAAUCAUUUUUUUAUGGAUCGACCUCGGACUCACCGAGAUAUAGUAUAAUUAGGUACUAUUAUACUUGGAAGUAAAUUAAAUACUUUUAAGCCGUGUCAAUCAUCUAUUCAUUUAAUAAAUUAUGGACAUAAAACAAUUAUAGUAUUUUUUAAAAUUAAUAUUUCAAUGAAUUUAAAAAACCUACGCUAAUAAAAUACAUUACAAGAUUCAAUUUCAAGUUAUUUGUAAAAUCAUAAAAUUUUAACUUCACUUUUCAUAAAAAAAUUUACUUUAAUAUACUUUGGCUGCGUGCUAGCCCAUUAGUGAAGUGUACUUAUUGCUGCUUUUUCACGUGUCAUUUUUAACUCAUCACUAAUUGGACUGCACUUUUAAAAUUUAGGUACCUAAAAUUCUUAGUCUAAUCCAGCUUAUAUGUGUGCCAUGUUGUGCCACAUGUUCUUUCAAAAAGUGAUGAUACAACCACAAACUCUUAUAUAAACUUAUCUUGUACAAACUGAUUUGACAUUAAUUAAUUAGUUGAAUGAAAAUAUAAAAUAAUAAAAAUAGAUCAUGUAGGUUAAGAAAUAUUUAAUUUAACAAAUUUUAUUAUGGCACAUCAAUUUGUAUAAAAUAAAUUUAUAUAAGAGUUUGUGCCUAUAUUAUUACUCUCUUUCAAAACGUGCUCCUACUAUGUCAUGUUGUACGAACACGUCCGUUGAGCAUAUGUACUUCAAUCAUUCAAAUUUCGAUAGGAAUUAACUAUUAAGGGACCCAUUCGAUAAACAAGAAGAAUAUUUUUUAUUAAUGCGAAAUGGAAACACAAAAGGGAGCCCAAUGUCAUUACCUCAGUGCUUUGCUCCCUGGGUGAAAUUAGAAUUUCAGAAAAGAUUGUCGAUGCCUGUGUAAUAUAAUAUAAUUAGAACGAAAGGAAUAUCGCGGGGUGGUGGUGCCCAGAGGACCAGUCAUUCAUGUUUCCAAUACGAUCGGGAUAUCAGAAGAAGAAGAUAAACAAGACGUCGAUUUGAGCUUCCUUUUCACUGAUUCACUAGGGCUUUUAUUCGCAGGUACAUCCUAUUACUCCUCACAGGAGAUCAUUUGCUGAAAUUUGAUUUUUUCUUUUUUUUAUCCAUCAAUUUCUUAUAAGUAAGUUAGUAAUGAAAUUUGAGCUGAGACUGAUGAAUUUAUAUCUGUAAUAUGCAAAAUUUAUCUCAGCGAAUAAAGCCGAGCUCUCCAUAUUAAAGACUUUUCGUUUUAACGUUUCCAAUUUGAUGGUUGUGAACCCUUAUCAAUACGCAUUUUUCAUAGAUUUGAUGAGAUAUUUGAAUCUGCAAUUAUAUGUCUUUCUUGUUGAAGCAGGGUUGAACCUGAUAUGAGAUGAGUGCAGGUCUUUAGUUUUAGCUAAGCUUAUUUUGCCAAAUUGUGCUUCACUCAUGCAUCUGGAUCUCUUUAGAUUUGAGCUUCAAGUUGGAUUUGAACUUCAAGAAUAUGAAUAACUCAUUGCAAUUGUCAUUUGCAAUUAGUAAUUUUCUGAAUCCAUCUUUUGUACGCCCAUUCGCCCAUCUAGUAAAAUUUAUUACAUCUUUUUUUUUAAAACAUAACCAAUUAUGAUUGUGAUGAUAAUGAGAGAGAAAUUUUAGAAUGUGGCUUGAUUUCUUAGAUGGUCCGUUCAUAUCUUGCAUUUUCUUUUGAAUUGAGGAUGUCGACUUGUUUUUACAAAGUUAAUGACAAAUAAUUUUUUUAAGAAGAUGGUUUUGAUUGUUGUUUUGAUUCAGGAAUUAGUCAAGAUGACACCGGUUUGUCCUUUUGCCAAAGCACGUCCAGAUGAUGCCUCUCCUAGAAAACCUGGUGAAAACUCGAAUAAAUACCCGGCAGAGUGUCCUUUUUCCAAAGCACGUCCAGAUGAUGCUGCUUCAAGAAAAGCAGUUGAAAACUCAGCUAAACCCCAGGCAGAGCAUGAUGGUGACAAAGCAAAGAGUGAUUCUAUAGACUCUGCCAGCAUUCCUCCAAAAUGUCCGUUUGGCUAUGAUGCUCAAUCGUUUAAGAUUGGUCCCCUGAGUUGCAUGAUUUGCCAAGCACUUCUCUUUGAAUGUAGCAAAUGCACGCCUUGUUCACAUGUAUAUUGCAAGUAAGCAAAUAAGGAUACACUUGUUUUAUUUUCUCUAUCUCCCGUUUAUCCUGAAAUGUUGAUUGGUUUUUCUUUUCAUUUUACUUCUGUGGGAUAUGUUCAUUUAUUUUGUUAAAUUGAAAUCAGAGCAUGUAUUUCACGCUUCAAAGACUGCCCAUUGUGUGGGGCUGACAUUGAGAAGAUUGAAGCAGAUACAACUCUUCAGGAUGUUGUCGAUCGCUUCAUUGAAGGUCAUGCUAGAAUCAAGCGAUCUCACACUAAUUCUGACAAAGAGGAAGAUGCAGCAGGUGAAAAUAAAAAAGUGAUAUAUGAGGAUGUUUCUAUGGAGAGAGGUGCUUUCUUGGUUCAACAAGCUAUGAGGGUGAGUUCAGCUAGUUUCUUUGCCAUUGUUUAUGGUCUAAGAAUUUGUGAGUUGGAAAUUAUGUGAGUAUUGAUGUUGUGUUAUUUGUCUUAAAUUCAUAAUUAUAUUAUUAGUCUAACACCAACGGAAGUGAUCCUUCUCUUCUCGAAACCCCUCCCACAAAAAAAAAAAACUCUCGUGAACCAUUCAUUGAUUGUAAUCGAAUGAUUUUAAAAGUUUCUGAGUUGGAAGUAUUAAAUGCCACAAAAAUUUAAGCUAUGUGGUUGUUUGUGUGUGUGUGUGAAGUGGAGUUGCAAGAUUAUCUUGGAGUCUGUCAAUUGCAACUUGCAAGUAGUUCAUACUCUCCAAUUCACCUGGUGCAAUGUGCUCCAUAAGCUGGGCUACAUCAAACACUAGAUCACUCUUUACCUGUCUAUGUAUGUCAUACACUGGAAGCGUUUCUUAAAUGCCUUUUCCAAAUAGCUUUUGUUUCUCUAGCUGAAUUGAUUUUUCAAAAUUUUAAAACUACCAGAUGAUGACCCAUUAGUUAAGAAGUCAUUUUCCUGAUUCAUUGCAUCUGCUUAGCUGAUUGCUUUUCAUGUGUAGGCUUUCCGUGCUCAGAAUGUAGAAAGUGCAAAAUCAAGACUCAGUCUCUGUACAGAAGAUAUCAGAGAUCAGAUAGAAAGAAUGGGCAAUACAUCAGAGUUGUGUUCACAGCUAGGAGCUGUUCUGGGUAUGCUUGGUGACUGCUGGUCUGUCCCCUCUCUCCCAUCACUUGCUUUGCAUUUUUUUUUUUCUUUUCUUUGGGUUCUCCCUUUUGAACUCAUUACAGUUUAUUAGUUUAGAACCAUUUUCCUUGUUAUGCUUUUGCAUUAUAAAUGUUUCUGGUGUUCGAGGGGUACCCAUUUUUGCAUAUGAGAAAUUGAUUUAUGUUGGAAUGAGCCUCAGUAACGCUUUAAGGCCAAUGAUGAUGGUGUAUUCAAAACUAGAUCUAGCUAAGAAAUUAAUAUGAUUGUUGUUACCUAGUAGCUCAAAAAUUUACCGAGUUAUGACAAAAUCCUGAUUAAACAUAAGAGAGACCUCUCAUAUAACAGCAGAAGAAUUCAAUCCAUACCAAUGUCACUCCAGCACAGUAUUCUAGAAAAAGGAUAUGCUUGAUGUACUGGGAUGGGGAUAGUCUUGAAGAAUUUCCUUGUUAGACUAAGAGUUUCAAAUUUUGAAGGAUUGAUUGUGGUAGCUAAAUUAAUGUAUCACCAUUUUCGCUGAUACUUCUCAGAGACUUUAACUAGAUCCAUCUUCUUGUUUAUGUUCCUGCAUUUCUUUGAACGCGUUAACCCAUGCUCAGACUUCAUUUCAGGCUCCCAUUAAGACAUUAAAUUUCUAUCAUGUGAACCUAGUAUUUUCCCCAUCAUAUCGACUUGAAGUGGGUUAUCCUAUCCAAAAUAUAAUAAACUAGAAUAAUCAAGAGGGGAAGAGCUGAGAUGAACUGAUGAGAGCUUUAUUUGCAAUUUUCCAAUAUGAUGCAUGAUAAAUAAGCUUUGAUUGUCAUCUUGAACUUAGAAAUUGGUGGAUCUUGAGUCUAUACAUCCAUUUUUAUAUUUUUACACUUCUUUUUGAAAAAUUAUUUCUGUCUUCAUUAUCAUGUCCAAAAUAUGAGAUUCUUACUUGUGGUAUUGUUUAUGUAAAACCUAAUCCCUUACUUUUUUAUGCAGUCGAGCUAUGGGAGAUGCUGAUGCUGCAGUGGCUUAUUUCGCAGAUAGUGUUGAAUUCCUCAUGAAAUUACCGAUGGAUGAUCUGGAGGUUAUAGCAUGACAGCCGUUUCUACUUAAUUUUGGCACUUUAUGCAUGGUUUUCACCUAAUUAUUUUUUACUUUUUUCUCUACAGAUAAUUCAUACACUUUCUGUUUCACUAAACAAAAUUGGAGAUCUGAAAUAUUAUGGUGGAGACCUGCAAGCUGCAAGAUCUUACUAUGUCCGUUCUCUAAAUGUCCGACGUGAUGCCGUCAAACGUCAUUCAAAUGUUCCAUCACAGGUAAUCCAUCUUCUCUCAGGACAUUUUUUAUUUUCUUUUAUGUUUCUUUCUACUUCAACAUUCUGCACUUCUGAUGUCGUUUCCUCGUACCAUCAUAUUAUUGCUAAAUUUUAGUCUUUUAGUUCGUUCUAUCAGUAAUCUGUUCAUCCUUUUUUUCAUUAGUCAAUGAGAGACAUAUUUUCAAUAUCAAUGUACUUAUUUGUUCUUCGUAUUCUCCUUUUUCUUCCUUUUUAUUGACUGUCAUACAUUUUUUUUCUAGUCUAUUAGGACUCUUUCCUUUCUGUCAUUUUUCUUUUUGUAUUCUACAACAAACUAUAUGAUGCAUAUUGGGGGGUGGAAUCAAGAAUUGAUAUUAUUCAGGAUUUUACAAAUUUAAGAUUAAUAUUGAUUUAAAGUCAAGGCUUUCUUAGGUGUUUAAGUCAAAAGAGGUGCUAUAUAUUCUUUAUCUGCCCAAUGUUGCAUAUGUAAUGAAAAGAAAGGGUAGUCCGUAUCCCGUUUAUUUUUGGAUUUUAAUAGCGUAUAUAGUUAUGCUUAGCAGAGGAUGUUUUGGUUUUGCCUCAAUCAAAUCAUCCUACUCCUAGCAUAGAUUCAUGAAGUUUUAGGGGGAAAGAUAUGAUUGGUAAAGUUUUGUGGAUAUGAGUGAAGUCAUUUCUAUGGUCAAUUUGAGUGAAAGCAAGAGUAAACAUUUAAAGAGCAGUAUGACAAAUUCCAAAUAUAUUAAAGGAAAAUAUUGUAUUUUACUUCUUAAUGGGCUUUGGGUUCAACUGUUUUGGAGGGAUUUCUCGCUGCUUGCAUUUUAGGGAUCAGAUGAGUGUUUCUGUAGGAUUUUCCUUCUUUCCUUGUUAUGUUGUAGGAUUUUCUUCUUUUGUUGGUUAUAAUUAUGUUAGCAUUGGGCGGCUACUGGUUCCAAUAUAUAUUUUUGUUAUUAAAAUGGUAAUGGUGAGAUGAGGUAACACCUGAAAAAAAAAAAAAAAUUGGAUUGCUGGGAAUACAGAGAUUUUAUAUUUGGUUCAGCAAACUUUUAUGGGAAAAUAAAAAAUUUUGUUGCCGGACAAACCUUUUCUGCAUUGAUGUUGCUUUUCACGUGUUGUGUAAAAUCUCAUUGAUUUGGGAUUUUCUUCAUCUCUCUUGACCAAAACAGAGAAUGAUAAAUUAAUGGGUUUCUCUUGUUCCUUGUAAAUUGAAAUGUCUUUCUGUAGAUGUUUGUUUUGUUCAUAUCAGAGUUUCACCUUUAAAAUACAUGGCAAUGUUGAAAAAUUGAUAUGAUGUUAGAUAAAUUCCAGUUGGAGAAAAAAAGUGUUGAGCUACUGAGUUUUAACUUGUUUCUGUGAUUUUAGGUUUUGGAUGUAGCUGUUUCUCUUGCAAAAGUUGCGGAUGUAGAUAGGAGUAUUGGUAAUGAGGAUGUGGCAGUUGAUGGAUUUCAGGAAGCCAUUAAGCAGCUAGAAUCUUUAACAUUGAAACCUGAAGAAGCUGGUUUGGAGCAACGGGUUAGAUUCCUAUUCCAACUUCUUGUUGUAAGUAGUUUAGAUUAUGAAAAUCUUGAUCCGACACUUUUUUGACAUACAGCGCCUUUCAGUGCUGGAAUUCCUCAACAACCAACUUUCAGAAAAAUCACCUGAAUCAACUCCCAAAGUUUAGGUCUGCUUGAAAAAUGCAAAACUAUCUGGUGAAAUAAAAUAGCCUACUGUAUAUGUAUAUACGCAAGUAAUAAAGCUCAGGCUAGCCAAGUCAGUCUCUACAUCAAGCGCUUUCGAGAAUAGCAAAAACUUGAUCCUGUCCAGAAGUGCAAGCGAUGGCUGCAGCUGGAGUCACACCACAGCUUCUUGCCUGGUGCGACUAUAAUUUGGAAGAGCAAACAAGUAUGUAGCUGCGGAUCAACAUAUUUCCUUGUUCUUUCAAGUAAUGGCGUGUAACUUUUUGUUUUCUGUGAAUAAACAUCAUGCCACUGGGAUUUUUGUAUAAUGUUGUAAUAGGCACAAAACUUAUUAAAAUUUCAUUAUGCAGUUCUAUGGAGCAACUUAAAUUAGGACGAUGUAUUGUCAUGUUAUGAAUUGGAAAAGAAUAAGCUGUCUUCUAUUGGCGAUGAAUAAAUAUUAUCAAUACGUACUACAUAGUCCUCAUUUCAAUACCGCAUGAUUCAUAAAUUGAAUUUUGGGUUGCUAGAGUCCCCAUAGGAUUAUUUCAGUUUGUUUAUUAUAUUUAGAAUAGCCUCUAGGAAAGAAUCAAUGAGAACCAAUUACUGCAUCUUUGAUGCACUUUCUAUUAUUAUUGGCACAUCUUAGGUUUGUUUACUAAUUGACUAAUUGUAAAAACCCCAAAAGUUCAGGCAUAAAGAAUUGCUUGAUUACAUUUAUGUUUUUUUCUUAAAUAAAAUUUUCUUAAAGGUCUUCUAAAUGUCAAAUUCAUCUAGCUUACUAGCCUGUAGCAAGAGGAAUAGAAAAUGUGUCAUUGAAGUUGGUUAUGGAAAAGCAAUACUCAGCUUAACAAAAAGCAAGCCCUAAAAAAAGCGCCAAGGAUAAAGAUUUGCACGAAACUAGAAGUAAAGGAGGAUUAAAUAAUGUGAAGGGGAAAGAAUAAUUAAAGCAAACAAGGAAAUGAAAUUUGCACAUGCCUAUUCACCUUGCUCUUUUGCUGAAAGAUAAAGAGAAUUGCUUGCAUCUCAAGUCAAUUAUUCAGUUUGUUCCUACUCGAAAUAAACUGGAGAGUAUCAUUUUCCUAUUUUAUUUAUUUUAUUUUCCUAAGAAUUAUAAUGUUUGAUAAUCCCAAAUGCCCAUCCCAUAAAACCGCGAUUUUCUCUUAUUAAUCUUAACUAUUUGCUAACAUUAAUAUAUUUGCUAAGAUUAAUGUCAACGACGAUCAAACAAGAUUUAUUAGAUGAAUAUACAAGUGAUGUAAUACAAGUCGUUUGUAUUAUGAAGAUAUUUCAUCAUUAGGAGGAAUCAAGAACAUGAAGGGUGGUAAUAAAGAUAUAUUCUGUCAACUUUUAAACACAAAAAAAAAAAAAAGGAGAGUAAAGAGAAAGGAGCAUACGUGAACUGGUUUUUCGAGUUGGUCAAAUAAAACAGAGUUUAAAUGAUUGUCCUUUUUACGCACGAUAACAAUAAGAAAAUUGAAAAAUGUGAACAAAUUAUGUUAAUUUUUUAUCAAUUAAACCAGCUAGGAUUAUGCAUCAAAUGUUAAUUUACAUAAUUAGAUGCUAAAUUUACACAGCUGAAAAGAAUCAAUGGGUGUUUGAGAUGGCGAUUAUCAUAUAGUAAUAUUAAUUAACUGAAAGCCAUUCCAAUCAUGCAUUGGGAUUUGCAUUAUAUUAUCUUUUCUUCAAACUAAAGUGAUUAUCAAGUAUAGAUAUUAAAAUUUUGGGCUUGUUCACUUUCUGCUUUUCUGCUCGGUUUGAUGAUUGUGAUGAAACCGACAGCACAAAAGCAUCAAAUCAAAAAUGGCCUACCAAAGGCGAACCGCCACCCCAAACCUAUUAAGAAGAUAAAGUGCUGUUUGCAAUAUUGGCCAUAAAUUAUUUUUAUUUUAAAAAUUAAUUAAUAAAAUAAUAAAACCCAUUAAAUAUUAUCUUAAAUUUCUUGUAAAAUUCAUCACGUCUAUUUUUUUGAGAAGGCUUUCACUUAAUCUCUGAACCUAAAAGUCUUAUCUUUAAUCAAUAUCGACCCUCAAGGAAAGUGAAUAAAAUGUUUUACACAAUAUUCAAAUUGCAAGUAAACAAAGAUAGUUUUAUUCCAAAACUUUUAUCUAAAUUUUUAUAAAAUAACUGCACCAAAAAAAUUGUUGAUAGUGUAGUAAUACUCAAGAAAGUGAAAAAGCUCUCACACUUCUUUAAAUUGAUGAGUGAUGACUGCUUAUAUAAGAUUAGCAAGUUCUUACAUAUGUCUACAAGCAUGUACAAUCAGCACUUCCAAAAUUCCAUGGCUUGCUUAUUGCUAUUUCCUUUUCUCUCCCUCCAUUGCCUUGUUGUCAUUGCUUCUUCUUCUUCUUCUUCUUCAUCAUCAUCAUCAAAUCAAAUUCCCAAGGUGCUUAUUAUUUUUUUUCCCUUCAUUGGUUUUGUUUUCCAAGACCAAAAGAAUAAAACUAUUAAUUAUAUUCAUUAUUCUUUUAAUGUAAUUUGUUUUUCUUGGCUUGGCAGCCUUAUGUUGUUUAUAUGGGAAGUUCAUCUAAUGUUGGAGUUGCAGAAUUGGCUCAUUUACAACUUUUAUCUUCCAUUAUUCCAAGGUUAGUAAUUACUUCUUGUUAUCAUCAAUGUUCGUUAUUAAAUAAUCAUCAACUUAGCAUUUUUUUUUCUAAUGGGGUUUAGUUAAUUUUUGCAGUGAAGAGAGUGACAGAAUAUCUCUAAUCCACCAUUAUAAACAUUCUUUCAAAGGAUUCUCUGCCAUGCUCACUGAGAAAGAAGCUUCUGUACUCUCUGGUAAGUAAUUCCUAUUACUUUACAGUAGCAAGAAGUUAAUAUGAAGAAUAUAUUAUUCUUUAGAUUAAAAAAAUUCCAAGUUUUGAUGGCUUACUUCAAACGUACUCUUAGUAUAAUUAUUUAAUAGGGAUGUUCACCAUUCUCGUAGGAAUUAGCUUUGAAUAACUAUUGGAAUUGAUAAAUGGAAAAGCAAUUUGAGAUAUGCUAUAAAUUUUAGCUCAUAACUUAUAUUAUAUGUAACUUACAGCAAGUAGUUACCCAUGAACUCCCACUUGUUGCACAUGCUACCAUUUUUUGAUUUUGGGUCUAAAAUGAUUUAAUGGGGUUGUAGAUUCAUGUUUUGGUAAAUUAAUGAUAUUCUAUGUGAAAUAAUUGUGUGGUUAAUAGAAUCAGCAAAUUAUCUCAUGUUAUUUUAUUCAACCCGGGCUAAACUAAAUUAAUAUUUCGAUAAAUAUUAUUCAUUGCGAUUAAUAUGAUUUUUUUAAGGGACUAAGAUGAACUUUAACAAUUUUAUUGAGACGAGCUUUAAUAAUUUUGCUAAGGUCAUAAAAAAUUGUGUUAAAGAACCAAUAAUAUAUAACAUUAAUUAUUUUAUUAUGGUAGCAUUUAUUUAAAAUUACCGGGUCUCAAGGAUAUUUUUCAAGAUCUUCUAGUCUGGACUCCCUCUCUUUACUUCGCCUCUUAAUAGAAUCAUGUCACGUGUCCAUUUGUGCUCCAUAAGAUAGAUGAGCUAUUUAUUAGAUUAUUUAUGAAUAUAUAUUAACACAUACGAUAAUAUGAAUAUAUUAUAACAUGAAUCAAUUCAUGGUUUGAUACAUCAGAUGGUAAAAUGAUUUGAUCUUAUUUAAUAUUUAUUACAAAAGUAUAUGGCAUAACUGGAAAAAAAUAUUUUUCCAAACAUUGUUCUUGAUUGAUUUGAAGUAAUUUGUUAAAUGGAUUGAUUUGUGAUUUGCUGAGCAGGGCAUGAGAAGAUAGUAUCAGUGUUCCCAGAUCCAAUUCUUAAACUUCACACAACACGUUCUUGGGAUUUCUUAGAAGCAGAAGCAGAAGCAAAAGCACCCACAAGCACUUGGUCCAGCCAUAAAUAUCAUAAUAUAUCAAGUGAUGUCAUUAUUGGCAUUAUAGACACAGGUAUAUUAAUUUUAAGGAAAAAAAUUGUACUUUAUAAUUAUCUCUCACUUAAAUUUUUAUUUUAUUUUGGUCCUUGAAGGCAGAACAUUACAUUUAAAGAAUUUAAAAAAAAAAUUAAAAAUAAAAAUCAUAGAAUUAGAUGGUAUUUAUUUGGUGGAUCCCAAAGUUAUUGAGCAAUAGAUACCUAACUUAACGGUUCCAUCUAUGGAAUAUGUAAAAGAGACACAAGACAAAAUUAAAUCACAUGAAUUGUAGUCCCCCAAGAGAAACGCCAUGUGCAUUAGAUAUAUAUAGAGUGAUCCCCAUAUAUCAUAUAUCGUCAAUAUCUUGUCUGUUUAUAAUUUGUGGAUCUUGUUAGCUAUCAACAAGUUCUUUUAUAUUUAUUUAUCCAUUUGUAAAAUUCAGCAAAACUUCAUUCUACAUCACAUUAAGGGAAUGCUUUUAUGCUCCCUAGAAAUAAUUGUAUAUAUUUACUAGUAUUAUGUUGGCAUCGCCCCUAUUUAACGUAAAUUUUUGAGUCAUGCUCAGCAAAUUUCGAGAUUUCUGGUUGAAUAUAUAUGGCCUAAAACGUGAAAAAUUAUGUCUUUAAUUUUCAAGAAUUUCAGUUAAUUAUUUUUUUAAUCUUUUUCCGUAAAUAAAAAUUCAUAGGUAAAUUAAUUUAGUAUGAUUUGAUGUGGAACAUGGAUUCUUUGUUUUGGUAAAUUACAGGGAUAUGGCCUGAGUCUCCAAGUUUCAAGGACCGGGGAAUGAGUGAAAUACCUUCUAAGUGGAAAGGAGUUUGCAUGGAUUCACAUGACUUCAAGAAAUCCAACUGUAAUAGGUGAACCAUUUUUCCCACUAAGAAUUUAAUAGUUUUCUCAUAAUGUUAAGUUUUCAAAAUGAUUAAUAAAAUGAAGAAUAAAGUCAAAAUUUACUAAAAUUCUUAUAAUAUUACUGAUCAUUAUCUAGCGCCGACAUUUGUACACAAACUUGUAGAUAUUGAGCAAAACUAUUGAUGGCAAAACAAUUAGAGCCGCAGCCAGCCUGGACUUGAAGGCCUUUUGACUCUUAAAGUUGAGUACUUAAAUUAUAAAAUUAUAAUGUUUAAUUAUUGAGUAGGCCUUUGGACUCUUAAAAUUCUUCAUAAAGUCCCCUUUUAAAUGAAAUUUACUUAAAUAAUUAAAGACAAAUCAAUUUAUUUUUAUUUUGAAUAAAAAUUGAAUUAAACACUUAAGCAGGUUAUUCUUUUAACAAACUUUUGACACUCACACCAUUGUAUAAUUUAUAUUUAUAUUUGAAAUUUUAAUAGAUUUUUUAGAAAAUUACAAGAAUUUAAUAUUUUGGAAAUAGAAACUAUGUGAUAAAAAAAAUUUUAACGUUUUGUGAUUUUUAUGAUUUUAUAAAUAAAAAAAUUGAAAGAUACCUUUUUUAGGGGUGAAAUUUUGGUGGGAAGAUGAUUAAAUUUAAUAGUGGGCGAGGCUAUUAAUUCAUCUCACACCCUUUUCGAAAAAAUAAAUUUAUUAUUAAAAUUUAGAGUUUCAAAAUCUUGAAAUUAUCAUUUACUAAUUUCUUUCUCUCUCUACCUCAUGAUUGCAUAGUCUCUUUAUAUUGUCACAUUUUGUAAACUAAACUCUCAAUUUUAUUUUCUUUCGGAUUCUUUUUUUGUAUUUCUUAAUAAAUCAUAAUCUUUAUUUCAUGUUUUCUAUGUGCAAGAUUUUUUUUUUGACAUUUAUUAAGUUUUGUGGUUGGUAAAAAUUAAUUUCUUGACAUUCAUAAAAACAAAUGUAGUGAUUUUCAUUUUUGACUGAUGGAUUUUGAUCCUUAGUUUAUAAUAGCCUAUAACGAAAUUAAUUAUUUGUAUUGUGCAGUCAAACGAAAAUAUAUGAAGGAAUUGAUGAGAAUUGAGAAAUUGAGAAUGAAAAGAAAAAAAAUUACUUAGUUUAUAACUAAGUAAUUUUAUUAAAAGUUAUUUUAAUAAAAAAAUUUAAUUAAAAAAAGAGUAUAGAGAAAAAAUUAAUGGGUUUCACCCUUUUAUAAAAUAAAGUUCAAAGAAGAGUAUUGCAGGGGUGUUAAAAGCUCCACUCCUAAGUGCACCAAGUGCUUUGUCUCAAAAGUGUACUUAGUAAUUUUGUAUGGGCCAUUAUGAGGCUUUGUGGACCGAGUUCAACAAAGUACAUUGGGCUCCGAAGCCAUGUUAAUCAAUGGCCCUAAUUGAGAUUUGAUUACGAUAUAACCUUUUGUGUUACUUGCCAAAAAGGACAAAAAGAUACGAAAAGAAGUCACUGACAAUUCAAUCUGACUUCACUUAAAAAUUUAAAUCUUUCCAACCCUAAUUUUAUUAUGCCAAAAUGAUAUGAUAUAUAUAUAAUAUGAAUAUAAUCAAGUUUUCAUUUUAGAAACCAUAAAAAACCGAGCAUCAGAAAACAGCCCCUGGUUAGGCCCAAGCUUAGCUAACGCAAGCUUGGCUUCCCCCCCAAAUGCAGUUAGGCGUAGAAUUAUUACGAUUAAAGGCUCAUUUGGAGUUGUUUUUGAGUCUUGAGAGAUUUAAAAAUGAUUUUAAAAAAUUAAAAAUUAAUUUUAAUAUUUGAUAAAUUUUUUUAGAAACACUUUUGGUAAAUUUACCUCAUCCUAUAGUAAGUUUCUAAAAUAAAGAAAGAAAUAACUUUUUAAAAUUUAAUUUGAAAAAUUGAUAUUAUACUUAAAAUAAUUCCGUAUAUAUCCUCCUAUGUAUUGUACAAAUCUAAGAUUAUCUUUAUUCACUUGAAAAUAAAAUUAUUCAAUUCAAAGAAAUUAUUAUUAUUGUCAAUUAUAUUGAGAUAAUAAAAUAAAAAAUAGAGUUAAAAUAUUAAAAUAUUUAUUUUAAUUAUAAAUUAUUUUGUAUAUAUGUUUAUAAAUGUGUAAACACUUAUAACUUCUUUAAAAACUCACAUCACUUUUAAAAUAAAUUUUACUAAAAUUUAACUUAUUCUUUUCACAGUUGAUUAUAUCUACAGUACAAUUAACAACAAUUAUUUUAAAAACUACAAAAUUAUCAAACUAAUCCUAAAUGCCACAUAAAUUGAAGAAAAUGAUCAAAAUUCUCUUUUGUUCGUUAAAAUUAAUUAUUUUCCUCUCAUAUUUCAUUACCGUUCUCAUUCAAAUGAAUUCUAGCUAGUAACUUUGAACAUUUUCCUAUCGUUAACUAUUUCACUAUUUUACAAGUCUAAUUUUUGGGAUAAAAUAAUAAAAUUUUUAAAAAGAAGUUGAAUGUAUAUAAAAUAUUUUUAAUCAAGCGACAGAAAAUGGUUAAUUUACUGAUACACCAUAGUGGUUUUAAUCAUUUUCCUAAAUAAAUUGUCACAAGGCUGUUGGCAAUUAAAGUAAAAUACAAUUAAAAGUAAAAUUUCCAAAUUGCUUAGGAUCAAAAUCCUCUGAUAUUAUUUGGAAAUUUUAGCAUUAUUAAAAUAUUUAUGGGUAUAACAAUACAAUAUUGUGGCUGCAGGAAACUAAUAGGAGCAAGAUUCUACAGCAUUCCUCUAACAUCAAACAACCACAACACAACGAGAACAACUCUAGCUGGGUCUCCAAGGGACUCCGUUGGCCACGGAACACACACGGCGUCAACCGCAGCCGGUGCCCACGUGGCCAACGCCAGCUACUUCGGCUUAGCCCGUGGCACAGCCAGGGGGGGCUCUCCAUCUUCCAGGAUUGCAAGCUACAAAGCCUGCUCCGAAGACGGCUGCUCAGGCUCAGCCAUAUUACAGGCAAUGGAUGAUGCAAUUGCGGAUGGAGUUGAUAUCAUCUCAAUUUCUAUUGGAAUGAGCUCCCUGUUUCAGUCUGAUUACUUGAAUGAUCCGAUUGCAAUCGGCGCUUUUCAUGCUGAACAAAUGGGAGUGAUGGUGAUCUGUUCUGCUGGCAAUGAUGGUCCUGACCCUUCCACUGUUGUUAAUACGGCUCCUUGGAUUUUUACUGUUGGUGCUUCGAGUAUUGAUAGAGAUUUUCAGUCUACUGUGCUUCUUGGAAACGGGAAAACUAUCAAAGUAAGUUUUAAUUUCAUUCAAGAAUAUUUUGUUUUUUAUGUUUUAAAACUUAUGCUUCUGAAAACUAAUUUUAGAACCUAAUUAAGAUCACAACAAAAUGUAUGCUUAGAAAUAUAUUUAUUGAUAAAUUUUUUGCUUUGUACCUUUUCGUUAGGCUGCUGUUUAGCUUGCCAAGAAAAUUCGAGCAAAAUGAGUGAAAAAGCGUUUCUCUAACAAAGAUUUUCUUGUUAAUUAUUUUUUUAAAAGGAAAAAUGCUAAAGCAACUAUAGUGUUGACAGAAAUUAGAUAAAAUUGGCGUUAGUUUAUCUUACUUUCAAUUGAGUAAACUAGCUAGCACUAGUUUCAUUAUCUUACUUUUAUCGGCGUCCUGUUAAAUUGUUCUGUGUUGAGUAUUAUUAACUUUCAAAAGUUAAACAAACAAUCACUUAGAUUCCAUUUGGUAUUUUUUUUUAAAUGCUGUUUUUGAAUAUAGAGAUUAUUUUAUUUUUUUCCCCUUGAAACUGGUAUCUAUUUCUCUUGCUUUUAAAAUGUCAUCAAACACAUGUUUACUAUUCUUAAUUUAAAAAAAAAAAAAUAGACGAACAAUAUUAAAUAAGUUUUCCAAUUUUAAGAAAAUUAUCUUUUUUAAAAUAAAAAAUUUUCUCUUACUAAUUUAUAAAAUCUAAUUAGAAUAAUUUUGCUGGUAGGGAUCUGCCAUUAGUUUAUCAAACCUCUCGAGCUCAAUGACCUAUCCCAUUGCAUUUGGAAAGGACAUUGCUGCUAAAUUUACCCCUGUAUCCGAAGCAAGGUAUUUCAUUGUGUGGGCUGUUUUUUCAAUAAUUAAUAUACUUUUUUUUCCAUAUUGACAAUUAAUUAAGUUGAUUAAUUUAAAUUACUGACAUUGAUUAAUGAAUUAAUUGAAAUGUGCAGGACUUGCCGUCCAGGAUCAUUAGAUCCUAAGAAAGUUGCAGGCAAAAUCAUUGUUUGUGUUGAUGAUGACCCAACAGUUCCUAGAAAAAUUAAGAAAUUAGUUGCGGAAGAUGCAGAUGCCAAAGGCUUAAUUUUGAUCGAUGAGGAUUAUGAGAAACAUGUGCCUUUUGAUUCUGGCAUUUUUCCAUUUUCAGAAGUUGGCAGCGUUGCAGGAUUUCAAAUCAUUCACUACAUCAAUUCUACCAAGUAACCCUUGUCAUUAUUAUUAGCUUACUCUAUGAUGACUAAUUAUUUAAUCAUUAAACUACUAGAAGUAAUUAUAAUUAUUUAAACAAACCUUAUAUAAUAUCUAGUGUUUUAGUUAGGCUCAUGAUUUCUAUAUAUAAUAGCUGCCCACCUGAACAAAAUUUCUAGCUUAGUCCUUGAAUGCAUCAACAACACAUACAUACAUACAAACAAACACACACACACACACAUAUAUAUAUAUAUAUAAUGUCUGGUCAAUUUGUCCAACCAGCAUGGUAUCAUAGCAAACACAGAAUUGGUUAAUGAGUGCAUGUGUCUAUUUUUAAAUUAAUGUAUUGGAUUAACUAAACAGGAAUCCGACUGCAACAAUUCUCCCAACAGUUGAUGUUCCAGGAUACAAGCCCGCACCAGUUGUUGCAUAUUUCUCAUCAAGAGGUCCAGGAGAGCUUACAGAAAACAUUCUCAAGGUUAUAAUUAUUAAUUAUUUAAUUUACCAAAAACAUAUAAUAAAUUAAUUGUUUAAUGAUAAAUAAUUUUUCUAUUGAUAUCUGCAGCCUGAUGUAACAGCUCCUGGAGUUGCCAUUUUAGCUGCAAUUGUCCCGAAAGCCAAUGCAGGGAGUUUUCCGAUAGGAAAGAAGCCGGCCGGAUAUGCAAUAACAUCGGGAACAUCGAUGGCUUGCCCACAUGUUACUGGAGCUGCUGCAUUCAUUAGAUCAGUGCACCGAAGAUGGAGUUCUUCCAUUAUCAAAUCAGCUCUUAUGACAACAGGUACACUAAUUUUUUAAAAAUUCAAUAAUUAAGUAGAUGGCCUCAUUUUGCAUACAUAUACUAGCCCUAUUGUUGAAUUAUAAUUUUUUAUUUCAGAUCUGUGCAUAUUUUUUAUCAUAUACAGUCAAUCAUGUGUAUUGAAAAAAUACAGACUUGAACUAGAUAUAUCUGCAGCACUAUUUGCUGCAAAGUGAGAUUGUUUUAGAAUGAGGAGGGCUAGAGGGUGGUAACUAGCUAUAUUUUUUAGGGAGAAUUAACACUGAGGUCUGAACAAUUUUCACUUUUACUACUUUAGUCUCUAAUUUUUUCUCUUUUUUUUUUUUUUUUCUUUUGGUUAAAAGUACUAAAGAAUGUUGAAUGUAAUUUUUUAACAUGCAAAACCUCCCUAUCUUUUUAUAGACAUAUCACAUAAUUUAGAUUGAUAGCAGCAUGGAUGUAAUGGUAAAAGAAAUAAAAGAAAUUAUAUUCUUUCUGCAACUAUUUUAUCGCCAGGUUUCCCAGUAUUCAAUAAAUUAUAAAUAUCCUAGCUUAGAUCCGCUUUUUGAAAUGUAUAUCCUAUACCCUAGCUUGUUUAAUUGUUAGAAAAAUUAUUCUUCAAUUAUUUGCACCUUCUAAUGCGGUUGUGUGCUAUAAAAAUAAACGUAUAAAAUGGAACUUACAAAUAUUUUAUAUAUGCAGCAACCGUUUAUGAUAACACGGGAAAGCCCUUGAAAAACAACGCAGGCAGCACUGCAAGUCCACAUGAAACUGGAGUUGGGGAAAUCAGCCCACUCAAAGCUUUAAAUCCAGGGUUAGUAUUCGAAACUACAACGAAAGACUACCUUCGAUUCCUUUGUUAUUUUGGAUAUUCAGAGAAAAAUAUUCGAUCAAUGUCAAAGUACACAAACUUCAACUGUCCAAGAAACUCCAUUGAUAAUCUCAUCUCAAAUAUUAACUACCCAUCAAUCUCCAUAAGCAAGCUUGAUCGCCAUAGAGCUGCUGAAACUGUUAAACGAACUGUGACCAAUGUCGGAUUGCAAAAUGUCACAUACAUUUCCAGGGUGAAUGCUCCUUCAGGAUUAAUAGUCAAGGUACUUCCUCAAAAACUUGUUUUUGCUGAAGGUGUAAAAAGAAUGUCUUUUAGCGUUUCCUUCUACGGCAAGGAAGCUGCUGGUGGAUACAAUUUUGGAUCGGUAACGUGGUCAGAUAAUCGACAUUCUGUCCAAAUGAUGUUUGCUGUGAAUGUUCAAUAAAUAUAAUAUAUAAUUAUGUACACACAUGAAAAUUUGAGAUAUAUAAUUGGGUGAAUAAUGUUCACAUGUAUAGACAUUGUUUUUUGUUUAAUAUUCAUUUCCUAAUUUUAUCGUUAGCGUGAAUCAAACUAGCUAAUGUUUUUUGAAUUUGUUGAAAUAUACUUGAAAAGCAAAUCCGUACCCUCAACUCAUUCAUCUUCAUCUACCAAUAAGUAGCCAACCAACAGUUGUAGCAACCAUCGCCAACAGUUGUAGCAACCUUGACAAUUUUUUUUUUUUGGUGACAAUUUUGGUAGUUGGAUGGUGUUAGAGGCGGUUGUCUCGACUUCGAUAGUGAUGCAUGAAUGUUCUGAUGGCCAGAUGGCGGUUUUCGUAUAGGCUCUUCGGUUGAAAUUUUUUCGAAUGUACGGAUUUUAUUUUUCAGUGUUUUUAUUUUAAUGUUCUGAGUUUUCUGUGUUUUUGUUGUUGAAUACAAUCAUCGAAAUAAAUUUGAGAUUAUUUUCGUUCCGAUUUUAAACUAAAUUUUUUUUUUUAAAAUACAUCAAAAAUAUCAUAUCUACCAUAUAACAAGUAAAUGAUAUUAUGACUUGUGUAUUUGUUUUGAAAAACUAUCAUGUAAAUGAUAGUUAUGUUAAAUUUAAUUAUAUAUGUCAUCUAUGUAUUAAUUAGUUGUAUUAUCUUGAUAUAUUCUAGAAUAUCUCUAAAGCUACAAUGACUGUAAUGGCAUUGUUACAUCCAUUAUUGAGAAUUGCUUUGGGAGAUUGCUAUUUCCUUUAUUAAAAUCAAUAUGCAUCACUUUUUUUUUACUAUUUUUAUGAUACUCAAUGACCACUUGAUAUAUAAUAUUACUAUAUUAUCUUUAUUUCCAAAUACACUUUUUAUUAAUAUUUCUUAUAAAUUAGAUAAAUCAAAUAAUUUGAAAUAAAAAUAAAAAAAUUGUUAAACACUAAAAAAAAGAAAAAAAUUGUAUUUUGAUUUUUUUAAUUUAUUUUAAUCUACUUCUUAUUCUUAUGUUUUAUUUAUUCUAUUUUUUAUUUAGUAAAAUAAAAUGUAUGAAAUAAAUGAUAAAUAAAAAUAUUUUAUUCUUAAAUGCAUAUUUUCUUUUCACAUUUAUUGCAACAAAUACAUUUUCUUAAAUAUUUUUUUAUAGUAAAUGCAUAUUUUAUAUUAUUAGGAAGAAAUAUCAAGCAAAUAAUUUAUUUUAAUCCACUAGUAGGGAAUGAUUAGUAGAUAGUGAUUUCAGUUGGGGAAAUCAACAAUCUUCCUUCUCCCUUCUCCCUUAUUUUGAACUUUUUGAAAUCUUUUAUCUUAAUUUUAUGCAAUUAUUUUAUUUUUUAUGUUUGGCACUAUGUAGAAAAUUUUAGUGGCGCUUUAGAAGUCUUUUGCGUAUAGACUUGACACCUUCAAAAAUAAAUUAAUAGAUUAUAGUUAUGAGAUAAAAAGGUCCCGUUUGUUCGAGAUUCUUCCAUAUAUAGUAAUAUUACCAAUUAAUUGACGUAGGACGUUAUUUUAGAAUUUUAGAUAUUGUUAUUUUAGGUAUUUUGAUAUUUUCUAUUUUAAUUAAAGUUCUUAGUCUUUUAUCUUUAUUAUAGUUAUGAUUUAGUAGGGAGGGUAAAAUCCUCUAUGAAUUUGGACCUCAUGGGGCCCCACCCCAAAUAAAGUGAAUUUUGAAUAAUUUUUGGGAAAUGGAGUGAAGAAUGAGGGAAAAAAUAAUCUCAAAUUCUUAAUGGAGUGGGGUUUGAUUUUGUACCUUUCACUCCACCACCACCCCAAUUCCCAUUAUAUAUGAAUAUUUGUUUAUUUUUGUUCAAAUUUUUUUUUAUCCAUUAUAAGGGUCCGGCUACGGUGCAACUGUNNNNNNNNNNNNNNNNNNNNNNNNNNNNNNNNNNNNNNNNNNNNNNNNNNNNNNNNNNNNNNNNNNNNNNNNNNNNNNNNNNNNNNNNNNNNNNNNNNNNNNNNNNNNNNNNNNNNNNNNNNNNNNNNNNNNNNNNNNNNNNNNNNNNNNNNNNNNNNNNNNNNNNNNNNNNNNNNNNNNNNNNNNNNNNNNNNNNNNNNNNNNNNNNNNNNNNNNNNNNNNNNNNNNNNNNNNNNNNNNNNNNNNNNNNNNNNNNNNNNNNNNNNNNNNNNNNNNNNNNNNNNNNNNNNNNNNNNNNNNNNNNNNNNNNNNNNNNNNNNNNNNNNNNNNNNNNNNNNNNNNNNNNNNNNNNNNNNNNNNNNNNNNNNNNNNNNNNNNNNNNNNNNNNNNNNNNNNNNNNNNNNNNNNNNNNNNNNNNNNNNNNNNNNNNNNNNNNNNNNNNNNNNNNNNNNNNNNNNNNNNNNNNNNNNNNNNNNNNNNNNNNNNNNNNNNNNNNNNNNNNNNNNNNNNNNNNNNNNNNNNNNNNNNNNNNNNNNNNNNNNNNNNNNNNNNNNNNNNNNNNNNNNNNNNNNNNNNNNNNNNNNNNNNNNNNNNNNNNNNNNNNNNNNNNNNNNNNNNNNNNNNNNNNNNNNNNNNNNNNNNNNNNNNNNNNNNNNNNNNNNNNNNNNNNNNNNNNNNNNNNNNNNNNNNNNNNNNNNNNNNNNNNNNNNNNNNNNNNNNNNNNNNNNNNNNNNNNNNNNNNNNNNNNNNNNNNNNNNNNNNNNNNNNNNNNNNNNNNNNNNNNNNNNNNNNNNNNNNNNNNNNNNNNNNNNNNNNNNNNNNNNNNNNNNNNNNNNNNNNNNNNNNNNNNNNNNNNNNNNNNNNNNNNNNNNNNNNNNNNNNNNNNNNNNNNNNNNNNNNNNNNNNNNNNNNNNNNNNNNNNNNNNNNNNNNNNNNNNNNNNNNNNNNNNNNNNNNNNNNNNNNNNNNNNNNNNNNNNNNNNNNNNNNNNNNNNNNNNNNNNNNNNNNNNNNNNNNNNNNNNNNNNNNNNNNNNNNNNNNNNNNNNNNNNNNNNNNNNNNNNNNNNNNNNNNNNNNNNNNNNNNNNNNNNNNNNNNNNNNNNNNNNNNNNNNNNNNNNNNNNNNNNNNNNNNNNNNNNNNNNNNNNNNNNNNNNNNNNNNNNNNNNNNNNNNNNNNNNNNNNNNNNNNNNNNNNNNNNNNNNNNNNNNNNNNNNNNNNNNNNNNNNNNNNNNNNNNNNNNNNNNNNNNNNNNNNNNNNNNNNNNNNNNNNNNNNNNNNNNNNNNNNNNNNNNNNNNNNNNNNNNNNNNNNNNNNNNNNNNNNNNNNNNNNNNNNNNNNNNNNNNNNNNNNNNNNNNNNNNNNNNNNNNNNNNNNNNNNNNNNNNNNNNNNNNNNNNNNNNNNNNNNNNNNNNNNNNNNNNNNNNNNNNNNNNNNNNNNNNNNNNNNNNNNNNNNNNNNNNNNNNNNNNNNNNNNNNNNNNNNNNNNNNNNNNNNNNNNNNNNNNNNNNNNNNNNNNNNNNNNNNNNNNNNNNNNNNNNNNNNNNNNNNNNNNNNNNNNNNNNNNNNNNNNNNNNNNNNNNNNNNNNNNNNNNNNNNNNNNNNNNNNNNNNNNNNNNNNNNNNNNNNNNNNAGGAUCCACUUAGAUGGGUGGGGUCCAUUGAAAUCCAACGGAUCGAUGCAACUGUGGCACGGUACCACAGUUGCACCACAGUUUUCCCCUAAUUAUAAUGUUGGUUAAUAAAAUUUUAUUUUAUUUUUACCUAAUAUAAAUAAGUUAUAACUAAAAGAAAACCAUAUAUUAUAAUAUUUAUUUAACCUUAAAAUAUUGUUAUGUUUCUUUUCUCUCUUAAGGUGUUGCUCUCUUCAAACUUUUUUUUUAAAUUUUGAUAUCAUUUCUAGAUAUUAUUUCAACCCUUUGGAGAUUUUUUAAAAUAAUUUAAAUACUUUAUAAUAUGAAAAUGAUUUUAUUUAAGUCUCUAAUUUUUAAUUACUGAAAUCAUUUAUCUAUAUCUACUAUAAAAUAAGUAAAUGAGGAGUGGGGUGAGGAUGGGGAAAUCAUUCCUUAUUGUUGAGUAGCUAAAUUCAAACACUUAUGGAAAGAAAACUGGCAGCAUUUUGUAAAUGUUUGAGUUGUUUUGAAAUCACAUGAAUGAAGCAUGAUUACUUAAACUUGAAACGGCAACUGAAAUGAUCCUUUUGGCUAUAACAGUUUUUCAUUUGCCACGUGACUUGUCACUCGAAUGCUUAAUGACCUCAAGGUCGUUAUAACAACUUGUACAUGUGGCCAAAUCCUAUACAUUCUAGGUUUACAGAUUGUUAAGCAACUUUUGUAUAAAAUGGGGUUAUCAAGCUUAUUCAGUAAUGGUUCUAGAGAGUUCCUGUGAGAGAUUUGUGAGUCAGAAAACUUUUUCUUAAGCUCUAUAAUCUUCACUUGAGUUCUUGUAAUCUUCUUCUUUGAAUCAAUUGAUAAAGCCAGCUCUGAUGUUUUACCCAUGGAUGUAGGCCACUCAAAGAUCAAACCACGUAAUCUUGAGUUCUUGUUGAGUUUUUGAUUUGUGCUCUGUGUUUCAUUUAGAUCCGUUUUGUGUUUUUGAUUGUAUUGAUUUGUUUAGAUUUUUUUAAUCUAAUUUGAUUAAUCUUCAAGUAAUAAAUGCAACUUGUAUUGAUCUUCGAUUGAGAUCUUGGGCAGAGCUUUGCUUUAGUUGAGGUUUAUAUUGAUUAAGCUUUACAAUUGGUAUCAAAGCAGGGUUCUUAAUUAAAAUCCAAGUAUGGCUACUUAAAAGGUUGAUCUAGAAAAGUUUAAUGGCAGGAACGAUUUCAACAUUUGGAAAGUUAAAAUGAAAGCUCUUUUUAUCAGCCAAGGCUUGGGGGAUGCACUUGAAUCUUCAGUAAAGAAGGGAGGCAAGGAGGUAUCAUCAUCCAGGACUCUAGAAUAGAUGGUUGACAUAGACAAGAAGGCUAGAAGCAUUAUAAUUCUGAGCCUUACAGAUUCUAUGACUAGGGAAUUGGCCAAGGAAACAUUUGUUACAACCUUGAUGGAGAAGCUUGAGAGCUUGUACAUGAAGAAGUCACUGGCUAAUAGGCUUCACAUUUAGAAGAGGAUGUUCACCCUUAAGAUAGCUGAAGGCUCAUCAUUUGACAAACACAAUAAUGAAUUUAAUCAAGUAUGUGAUACACUAGCUACCAUUAACGAGGCUUUAGAUGAUGAGGGUAAAGCCUUAUUAUUGAUCAGCUCGCUACCAAAAUCAUACAAAAACUUUGUUGAUGCACUGAUGUAUGUGAGACAAACACUUUCACUUGAUGAAGCUAAAUCAUCUCUCAAUAUUAAGGAGUUAUAAGAAAAGCAUGGUAAUCUUGAAAAUGGAGCUGGUGAGGAGCUAUCUGUAAAGGAGAAGUUUGACAGGAAAGAUGAAAAGAAAAAGAAGCCAAACAAAUCCAAGAACAAGAACAAGGUCUUAAAAUGCUUUCAAUGUCACAAAUAAGGUCAUUUUAAGAAAGAUGUUCCAAAAACAAUCCAAACAUAAAGGUCAAAAUGGUGAUGCAAUAGUGGUUGAAGAAAAAGGAUAUGAGUCAGCUGAUGUUCUCAUUGCCUCAGAAGUAAAUGAAAGAGGUUAAUGGGUUUUGGACUAUGGAUGCUCAUUCCAUGUGUCCAUUUAUAAAUCAUUUUACUAAAUAUUUUGAAUGUGAUGGUGGUAAGGUGAUGAUGGGUAAUAAUGUAAUGUGUAAAGUUGUUGGCAUAGGCAACAUAAAUCUAAAAUUACAUGAUGGGUCUACCUAUGAAUUAAAACAAGUCAAACAUGUUCCUGAUCUCAAAAGGAACUUGAUUUCACUUGGUAUGAUAGACCAAAUAGGGUGCAUUGUUAAGCUUCAAAAUAGGGUGAUGAGUGCUGUCAAAGGGUCUUAAGUCCUGUUGAAGGGAAUUAGGAAGAAUGGGCUUUAUGUUCUUGAUGGUACCAUUGAAUCAAGAGAGGUAUCAAUGUCAUCCAGCUCUAGUGUUCAUAAAACUAGACUAUGACACUUAAGACUUGGACAUAUGAGCUUAAAAGGCUCAAAGAAUUAUCUAAACAAGGGUUGUUGAAUGGAUAUAGGAUUGAAGAUCUAGUGUUCUAUAAAGAUUGUGUCUUAGGUAAAUCUACAAGGGCUAGCUUCAAACCUUUAGUGCAUACAUCGAGGGGGGGGGGGCAUUGGAGUACAUAUAUUCUUAGGAGGUUUCACUAGGUGGAGCCAAGUAUUUCUUGUCGAUUAUUGAUGAUUAUUCAAAGAUGAUAUGGGCAUAUUUACUUAAGCAAAAAGAUCAAGUGUUUGACAAGUUUAAGGAAUGAAAGAUCUUGGUUGAGAAUCAAGUAAGGAAGAAGGUGAAGAAACUGAGGAUAGAUAAUGGGUUGGAAUUAUGUAAUCAAGUUUUUGAUAAUUGUUGUGUUGUUGAGGGAAUUACAAGACACAAGACAGUAAGGCUCAAACGACAACAAAAUGGCCUUGUUGAGAGAAUGAAUAGGACACUUAUGGACAAAGAAAGAACCAUGAUGAUUCAAGCUAAGUUUCCAAUGAAUUUAUGGGCAGAGACUCUCAACACAUCCUAUUACUUAGUGAACCUAAGUCCCUCCUCUACAAUAAGUUUUAAAACACCUCAUGAAAUGUGGUUUGGGAAUCUAGCUAGCUAUGGAAGUCUUAGGGUAUUUGGUUGUCAACCCUAUUGUUAAAGCGUAUUAUUGUAGGUGUUAAUGUGCAAGUGUACACAACAAGUAAUAUAAGUAUGAGUAUCCAGAUCGUCUCCACAGGGAUUGAUGUUAUAAGACUUGCCACAAUAAUCUUAACUGGGCAAUUUCAGUCUAAUUAAAAUAAAUUAAUUUAUGAAAUUGAUGACCUAAUGAAAUAAAAAAAUUGCAAUAAACAUAAUCCAAUAAGGAAAAUCUAAAGUCGAAAAUAAAGAUAUACUCAAUGAAAAAGGGGUAGUUGAGUGCUUAAACUCACUUAAUGAUGUUGACUAUUUUUCAAUUGUCAUAUUGUUGCUACAACAUCUACUACAGCACUAGGCAGAAUCUCUCAUGCAUCCUCAUUUGUCGCAUGUUGGAUAUCUUAGAUCUAUAUGCAACCUAACAGUGGCCAGUUGUUAUGCUAAUAUUAUAUAUAACAUUAUGCAUUCUAGAUUCCAAUUGCCCUAUAAGGUGAAUCUUCAUGUCCAGUUCUUCACUAAUCUUAUAUUAAGUAUGGUCUUAUUUAAAUUGAGAUUAACUUAACUUGGGAAACUCAAUCUAAAACCAUGUAUUAUCUAGAUAUUUUCCACUAAGUCAAACUUUUUUGAGGUUUUUUCUUAGCUAGUAUCCAUUAAAUGGGUGGUCAACUAAAAUAAAUGCUAUAACAGAUUCUAAGCAACAUACGUAUAUAAGUCAAAUAACAAUUAAACUUAUUUAACACCUAACUACAUCAAAGUUUAGUUUAUGAUAGGUGAUAAAACAAUAACAACACACAUUUUUGCCAUCAAAUACAUUUCUAGAGAGAGAUGAAAAUAAGCAAAACAAAGAGUAGAAAUUGAGAUCUACUAAAUUCAAGACAUCCCUCUCUUAGGUUUUUGCGAUCUCUCAUUCUUUUUCUCAGAAAUCCCUUGCUGCAACUCUCAUGAUAAGUGCAUAUUUUCCAUAUAUUUUGCUAUUAAUUUCUCCAUUUUUUUCUUGUUUUGGUCAUAAAUAUUCUAGUUAUUUUAGUUAAUUUUUAAUUUAAUAAAUUAUAUUUUAUUGUGUUAAUUUUUAUCUUAGUUUUAUUUAUUUUGUUAUUUUAGGUAUAUUCUGUUAUUUAUUUUGUUAUCGGUUUAAACAGUACCAAGAUGCUGUUAUUGGCACUGUCCUCACAACCCUUCAUGCAGGAAGUGUGUUACUCACUUUCUAUCCCAAUUUCAACCUUUCUCUCCAAGAUCCCAACUUGCCCACAACCUUGAAGGUCCAAAUCCAAAUUCAAGGUGCUGAACAAAUUUCUUCUGCCAAAAUUGCCACUUUACACCACCAACUGGUCUACAGGCUUCAAAAUCAUGCCUUAGAUCUACCCACACCAGAACACCACUCUGACACCCUCAUGGUGUUAGCAGAAUCUGACCAAAUCCCGAAAAUCAUCCAGAUCCCACGACAAAUUCCUCGUCAUGAGCUCAUCAAGCUUAUGCCUCUUGAAUGGAUCUCCAACUAUGAACAGUUCCACAAUAAUACAGCUCCUAUUCAGACAUCUGAAAGUAUGUUUGAAAGACGACAAGAUGGAACAGUCAGAAUGACUUUUAAACCACCUCCCAGUGCUCCACAAGAGCCUCCUCGGCUCUCCUUUACUUAUUCCUCAAUGAUCACAGCUGUUCAGACAGCCCAAGAAGAUCUGCCCAUUACAGGGUUUAAUUCUGAAGGUUACCCUAUUUAUCCAGCCAAACACAAUGGCCAUUUCCUAUGGGAUGCCCCUGGUUCCGGCAUGUGUGACCCAAAUUGUCCCUGCUGGGAUGAUUGGGAAGAAGACGAUGAUUAUGCAACCACAAGGAAAAAGAAACCCAAAAAGAAAAAACCUCCUGUCCCAUGUCACCACUGUGACCCAACUUUUGUCUCAAUCUGUUCAGUUCGUAAACUGAUGUUCUCAACUUUUGAAUUGAGAUGCAACAAGGUAUCAUUUUGUGCCCUGGCAUUUUGGGUUUGCCAGUUGAGGACUGACUCAAAGGGUUUAGGGGGCUCCAGGUGGCCAGUGGAGGUAAUAGGUGAAGGGAUAAAGGGUUUUGACACAACAUUUCGUUGGGGAUCUGUGUGGGGUUCCAAAGAAGGAAAGGAAGAAGAGUAAUCGGAACAGGUAGAGGAAAAUAUCAUACAAGCCAGUGGUUGGACGAUAGGCGUUGGGUUUGGGAAAAAGGUCUUGGAGAGCUUUGGAUGCUUACAAGAGGGACAACGGCAUGGUGGAUAAGGGCAAUUAUAGUCUCUGGGAGUACACUUUGGAGUAUACUGAGGGGAAGUUUGGGUAGCUUUGUCAACUUUGGAUGGUUGAGCUGGUCGUUUGGAAGAUUGGGUUGAGGGUCCUGGUUUAGAGGGGCCAGGUUCAUCCAUUGUUGGUUGGGGAAACUGGUGAAGGUGUUGGCUCAGAGGGAGAAAUGCAUCCCAUGGGUCUUGGGAAUCCUGGAACAAGAAAUCAGUGUAAUCUGGUUUUUCUUCUUUGAUGAUGAUACCAGUGGACUUAGGUUUAGAUAUGGCCGAUGGAGUGGGGAUCAUGAGGAGGUCAUGUUGUGGACCUAAGGAGGUGUGGGAGAUAUCUUUAAGUGGCGGAGGUUGGUGGUUCAGUUGGCAAAGGUAGUUGUGCAGGACAUCUUGUAUGUCAUUUUCAAUUACAGCUAUAUGUGGUGCAGUGAACCAUUCAUAUACCUGGUCUUGGGUCCAAAAGAGUUUGGUGUCUGGAUGUUGGAAGUAUGGCCUGUGAAUAAUAAAAACUGAUGUGAACAUUUGUGCUUCAUGGGCAGGCAUACGGUCAAGGUUGUGAAUGUCAGACAGUUGUUGCAGUUUCUUUCUCCACCAUGGUAUGGGGGAGAACCAUUCAAGUAAUGUCCAGGUAAGAGAGGUGGCUUUGUCUGGGUCAAGGAGAUGUUCCAAAGUAGGAGAAAUGGGAAGGAUUAGCUUGGUGGCAUAGAGGACAGUGAGGCACCAAACAUACCAUAACACAUCUUCAGUGGUGUCUCUGGUCGGAUCAAGGGUUAAACCUGUAAGGAACAGAUUUUCUGGGUGGAAAGUGGAAAAAGAAAAAGGGUCUGUGACAAGGUAGGCUUUCAUGAAAAAGCGAAAGUUUGGGAAAAAGGUCUUGGAGAGCUUUGGAUGCUUACAGGAGGGACCACGGCAAGGUGGAUAAGGGCAAUUAUAGUCUCUGGGAGUACACUUUGGAGUAUACUUAGGGGAAGUUUGGGUGGCUUUGUCAACUUUAGAUGGUUGAGCUGGUCGUUUGGAGAGUCUGGAGAGCAUAUCAGGGAUGAGGUUCUGGGAUCCCUUUAUAUGCUUGACUGAAAAGUCAUAUUUGGAAAACCAAUCUUUUAAUCUGAGUAACAUUUUUUCGGGAACAGUUUUACCUUUGAAAUGAAAGAUAUUGGGGAAGGCUGAGCUGUCCAUUCGGAUGAGAAAAUGGUGUCCAAUCAAAUGAUACUCAAACUUUUUGAUGCCAUUCUUGACUGCUAAGAUUUCUUUGAACACGCUAUGGUAGUGCUUCUGUGUGUCAGAAAAAUGUCCAAAGUUAUUGGUUCAACUCUUCCUAAUAAGGAUAUCUUGUUAGGAUUUGACAUCCUUCACCAAAUCAAACAUCUGUCUGUAAGAUGCGCUUGCCAUUUGUAAUCAACUUUAAAGGAGGCGGAUUUUGCGCAAUCUGCUUUAGGGUAGUGACAGCAAAUGUGUGGUCAGCAUUCCAUUCUGGGGGCUUCUUUUUCAAUAAAGCCGAGAGAUGGUGAGUGUAAUGAUCCACGUGGGGGAUGAAAUCACGGAUGUAGUUGAUGAUGCCGAGAAACUGUUGAAUUUGCCUUUUGGAAAGUUGCUGAUCUGGAAAGUGAAGCAAUUCUUGGGCAAUGUGCUUUCCUGGCUGGUAGUGUCCAUCUUUUAUGAUCAUACCAAGGAAUUCAACAUUAUCUGUAGCAAUGAUGCUUUUCUUGGCCGAUAACAUGAUUCCAUGACUUUGGAGAAUAUCAUAGAAUUGAGUUAACAGCUGGCGAUGUUCAUCAUGUGAGCCUGAAAAAAGCAAAAUAUCAUCAAUAUAAAUCAAUGCAUGAUGCAAAAUGGGUUGGAAGAUUUGGACCAUGGAUUUUUGGAAAAUGGAUGGGGCAGUUUUGAGACCAAAGGGUAGGACGGUCCAUUGAAAGUGGGCAUUGGGAAUACAAAAAGCGGUUUUGUAGCGUUCGGAGGGUUCAAUGCCUAGUUGCCAAAAACCUGAUUUUAAAUCAAAUUUUGAAAAGAUCUGGGCAUUUUUUAGAAAAGUAAACAUGCUUUGUCGACGAGGUAAUGAGAAUUUGUCAUCUUGUAAAAACAUGUUUAAUGGCUGGUAGUCAAUGACUAGGCGUUUCUUUCCUCGGACAAUUUCAGAAUGCUUUUCAACAUAAAAGGCUUGGCAAGCCCAUUGAGAACUUGUGGGCUCAAUUAAACCUUGGGCUAACAAUUGUGAACAUUCUUGUUGGGCUAGGAGUAAGUCAGAAGGACUCAUUCCUAGAUGGGUAGCUUUAGUUGGGUUAAUGUCUUCAUUGAGUUUGAAGGGUAACUUAAUGAAGAAAGACUUAUUUUUCCACAAGGGAUUUGGAUGGGUGAACUCAGAAUGGGACUCUGGACAGAAACUCAAAGUUUGGUUGAAAUAUCCUGGUAAGACUGGGGAGUUUCAGACAAAUUGUAGAGUUUCAGAAUGUCUGUGAACGGUUUGAACAUGGACUUGACUCGGAUUCCAGUGGGAAUGAUUUGGAGGUGUUUGAUUUGGUGAAGGAUGUCAAAUCCUAACAAGAUAUCCUUAUUAGGAAGAGUUGAACCAAUAACUUUGGUCCAAAUGACACAAUUGGGGAAGAUUUGAAUACCAAUGGGUUUUUUGGUAAUCAAAGAGGUGGUAAAGAGUUUGCCAUUGACAGCUUUGAAAUGUUCUUCAGACUGGAUCCAAUAUUCUGAUGGAAGAAUAUGGGGGUUUAACAUGCUGCGUUGGGCGCCAGUAUCUAUAAGACCAAUUGCUGGAAUGGGCCUUUGGAAUUUUGAGGGCAAGAUCUGGAGUUUGAUGGACGGGAUAGGAACUGUAGUAUCAAGGGAGAGUGACUGUUGAUGGAAAAUCACUUGAGACUGGUCACUGUCUGAAUCAGAGGAAUUCUGUAGUGCGAACACUGUUUCAUCAUUGGGUUCAUCUUGUUCAGAGAAAUAGAAUUCCAGCUCAUCUUUGGCAGGAGAGUAGUCGGUAGUUGCUUGAAGAUGCUCAACUAACCGGAUGAAUUUUUCUCUUUUGUUGGGGCAAUCUUUGGCAUAGUGGCCUUUUCUCUUGCAGAUGAAACAUCUGCUUGAUUGCUUUCGUUUGAAUUCUCUAGAGGAGGAAGAUUUCUUCCUGAAGAACCGGUAGGGCUUUCGGGAUCUGCGAGGCUUGGAGGAAAAUUCUGGAGGUUUGAAUUUCCGAAAAUGCCAUUUUUUCUUUGAACUGCAAUCACAAUCCUUUUUCUUGUGGCAUUUGAUCUGCAGAUAAGGCUUUUUGCAAGCACUUCGGAAAGGUUCUUUGUCUUUCAACAGUUCUUUGAAAAACUGUUUUUGCUCGCAAAGUUUGUCAAGACAAGUUUUGGCAAGCUGAAAGAUUUUGCCAAGAGAGAUGUUGUCUAGGGAAAGAUUGGAUGCGGUGAGUUGUCUCUGGAUGUUGGGUUGGAGUUCUUCGGGGAGGGAAGCCAGAAAGACAUGCUUUAAUGUCGGCUCAUUGAAUCCAUUAAGCUUAUAGAACAGCAGGGACAUUCGCUUAUAAUGGAAGUCAAGAUCCUUAGCAUUGAGGGAGCAGCAUUUCAUGUUGAGAUAAUCUCGUCUGGCAGCUUCAAAGACUGCAGAAGGGUCUCCAAGGAAUUGAUCAUGAAGUACAGUAAGAGCACUUGAGACUUCUGGGAGAUCAACAAACUGUAGUUGGCGGUAUUGUCCUAACGAAUCAAACCAAUCUCUUAGAGCACCCGUGAAACGAGUAGCAAAUUCUCUAAGGACUGAUUGAGUUGUUGCUCCUGGUCUUAGCAUCUGGAGGUCAAUCCAGGCAGACAUUUCAUUGAGUCGGUCACGCCAUUUAUGAGAUGAAAGAUCAUCAAAUGUGAACCAUGGACCAUUUGACGAUUUGUGACUGGGUGGAUUGGUCUGGGUUGGAGGAGGGUGGUUUGUGGCAGAAGAUUCAUGCAUUUCUUCUUCAACUUCGGAGGGAAUAUCAACAUAUGGGUCUGUAUGAGAGGUUUGGCCUUGGGUAGGUUGAUCAGGUUGAGCCAUCAGGAUUUUGGUGAUAUCAGCAUAAGACUUUUCAGAGUCACUGGUGGAUAAUGAAGAUUCUGUAUCAGUUUCGGUAGGGCUAUCUGAAACAGCUGGAUUUGAAUCAGAAGUUUGAUCAUUUGGGGUAGAUGAAUGGGUGACUGUAUGAGCAGUAAACUGAUGCAUGGGUUCUUUAUCUUUUGAUUGGGUAGGGACUAACAAAGGAGCUGGUGGUGAUAUUGGUGCAGAAGUAAGAGAUGGUUGGCCAGGGAUGGUCAAUGAGGAAGGAUGAAGAGGGGCAGGUCGAGGCUGCGGUCUAGGUUUGGGUUUAGGUUUAGGUGGUGGUGGCAAAGGAUUGUCUCGGAAAAGAGUAUGAGUCAUACCAAAUAACUUGGAAGGGUCAUACUGUUUAAUAGGAGAAAGCAUAGAGGCAAAAGGAUGAUAAGUUGGACCGAUGGAAGGGAUAUGAGGAGAUGUGGUGAAAAGGGUAGGUCUCUGUUUUUCAGAUUCAAUCUGGGCAAGUUCAGCUUUUAAGCGUCUGAUUUCCCUUUCUUUUUGGUCAAAUUCGGGGCCUGAGUAACGAUGGGCAAGCAUGGCUCGUAACUCAGAGUCAAGUUGAGAAAUUCUGGACUGGAGGUUUUGGUAGAUCUGCUGCAUCUGUGCAGUGAUGGAGUCAACUUUUGUCUCAAUCUGUUCAGUUCGCAAACUGAUGUUCUCAACUUUUGAAUUGAGAUGCAACAAGGUAUCAUUUUGUGCCCUGGCAUUUUGGGUUUGCCAGUUGAGGACUGACUCAAAGGGUUUAGGGGGCUCCAGGUGGCCAGUGGAGGUAAUAGGUGAUGGGAUAAAGGGUUUUGACACAACAUUUCGUUGGGGAUCUGUGUGGGGUUCCAAAGAAGGAAAGGAAGAAGAGUAAUCGGAAGAGGUAGAGGAAAACAUCAUACAAGCCAGUGGUUGGACGAUAGGCGUUGGGUUUGAAAGUGGUGAUGGAAUCUCAGAUUUGCAAUGUUUGGCAAUCCAUUUGAGUUCCUUUCGAUAGAUGGGUAAUGGAGCCGGUGGAGGUGGAGGAUCUGAUGGUGGUUUAGGGUCACAGUGGUGACAUGGGACAUGAGGUUUUUUCUUUUUGGGUUUCUUUUUCCUUGUGGUUGCAUAAUCAUCGUCUUCUUCCCAAUCAUCCCAGCAGGGACAAUUUGGGUCACACAUGCCGAAACCAGGGGCAUCCCAUAGGAAAUGGCCAUUGUGUUUGGCUGGAUAAACAGGGUAACCUUCAGAAUUAAACCCUGUAAUGGGCAGAUCUUCUUGGGCUGUCUGAACAGCUGUGAUCAUUGAGGAAUAAGUAAAGGAGAGCCGAGGAGGCUCUUGUGGAGCACUGAGAGGUGGUUUAAAAGUCAUUCUGACUGUUCCAUCUUGUCGUCUUUCAAACAUACUUUCAGAUGUCUGAAUAGGAGCUGUAUUAUUGUGGAACUGUUCAUAGUUGGAGAUCCAUUCAAGAGGCAUAAGCUUGAUGAGCUCAUGACGGGGGAUUUGUCGUGGGAUCUGGAUGAUUGUCGGGAUCUGGUCAGAUUCUGCUAACACCAUGAGGGUGUCAGAGUAGUGUUCUGGUGUGGGUAGAUCUAAGGCAUGAUUUUGAAGCCUGUAGACCAGUUGGUGGUGUAAAGUGGCAAUUUUGGCAGAAGAAAUUUGUUCAGCACCUUGAAUUUGGAUUUGGACCUUCAAGGUUGUGGGCAAGUUGGGAUCUUGGAGAGAAAGGUUGAAGUUGGGAUAGAAAGUGAGUAACACACUUCCUGCAUGAAGGGUUGUGAGGACAGUGCCAAUAACAGCAUCUUGGUACUGUUUAAACCGGGUAUCAAGCAUAGCAAGGCGAGCUGUAACCGGUAAUCCUUUUCUCCCAUGAAGGGUAAGGAUUAAUCUGAUGCCUCCAAGGUGGAGAUGAGUGUAACCUUCUCGUUUCCAGUUGGAAAUCAACUCUGAGGGUAUUUCAAGAGUGACAUAUUGCUCAGCAGGGGUUGCUUGGAGUGAACACUGAUCCAGGCGAGAAGACUGGAUAUAUUCUUUAGGGUGAGGUCUUCGGGUGGAUAUGAGAGUACGGAUACUGCGAGUAAAAGAACUGGGGCGUUUGUAUAGGUGGUAAGGGCUGAGGAGAGGGUAAGAAGAUUCACUGAUUUGGGCGGAUUCAGGGAUGUAGGAGUAUUCUACAAGAUGUUCAAUUUUGUUGGUAGUAUGAGAAGUGCAAGAUUUCGGCAAAGAAAGAGUGGAAGAAAGAGUAACAGGAGUUUAAGGAUUGGAAGAUGAAGUAGAAGCCAUGAAUGAGAAAUUCUCUCUGCGUCUGAAGUCUAUGGAGCAAAAAAGAAAAAAGACUUAAAUUAUACCAUUUUGAUCAUGUAAACAAGAAUUUAGAAAACAAGUUUCAAGGAACGGUAUGGCUCUGAUACCAGUUAAGAGUGUACGUGGCGUUGUUAUACCAGAACUACAACAGUAAAACUGUUCUUUGGACCAGUAGUCCGCAAGCUCGGGUUUCCAGCCGAUAUACCUCUGUAAUCAAAAACCUUUAAUAACCGGGUAUCAAGCAUAGCAAGGCGAGCAAUUCAACAGUUUCUCGGCAUCAUCAACUACAUCCGUGAUUUCAUCCCCCACGUGGAUCAUUACACUCACCAUCUCUCGGCUUUAUUGAAAAAGAAGCCCCAAGAAUGGAAUGCUGACCACACAUUUGCUGUCACUACCCUAAAGCAGAUUGCGCAAAAUCCGCCUCCUUUAAAGUUGAUUACAGAUGGCAAGCGCAUCUUACAGACAGACGCAAGUGAUGAAUCAUGGGGUGCCAUACUCCUUGAAGAAAUCAACGGAAAAGAACACUUUAUCGCUUACGCUAGUGGACAUUUUUCUGACACACAGAAGCACUACCAUAGCGUGUUCAAAGAAAUCUUAGCGGUCAAGAAUGGCAUCAAAAAGUUUGAGUAUCAUUUGAUUGGACACCAUUUUCUCAUCCGAAUGGACAGCUCAGCCUUCCCCAAUAUCUUUCAUUUCAAAGGUAAAACUGUUCCCGAAAAAAUGUUACUCAGAUUAAAAGAUUGGUUUUCCAAAUAUGACUUUUCAGUCAAGCAUAUAAAGGGAUCCCAGAACCUCAUCCCUGAUAUGCUCUCCAGACUCUCUAAACGACCAGCUCAACCAUCUAAAGUUGACAAAGCCACCCAAACUUCCCCUAAGUAUACUCCAAAGUGUACUCCCAGAGACUAUAAUUGCCCUUAUCCACCAUGCCGUGGUCCCUCCUGUAAGCAUCCAAAGCUCUCCAAGACCUUUUUCCCAAAAAGCAAUCCUGACAACCCAUAUGAGACAGAAAGCUCAUCCGAAGACGAGUACAUGAACCUCCGCUCUCCAUAAAGUUGUUUGUCUUGUUGCUUUCCAUAAAGUAGUUUGUCUUGUUGUCAUAAUGAUGUUUCGCUUUAUGCUUGCAUAAUUAUUAAAGUUUGCUUUUACUUUAAGCUUUUGCUUUUGCUUUUGUCAAAGUCAUGCUUUAAUUAUUAAAGCACUUUUGUCUUUUGUAAUAAUUAAAGUUGUGCCAUUAUGUAAAAGAUAGGGGUCCUGUCCU